rnacentral:lncRNA from 1 species
AAAAGUCAAAAUUGGAGAUUGUUUUGGUCCUAAUUUUACAUCCCAAUCGUCCAUAUGCAAUUAAUUGCGAGUUGUUUGUUUUAAGGAAGAGUUGAGAUAUGAGAAAUGUAUUGGUUGUAAGGUAUUAUUAUUAUAUACAGAUCAUGUGGUGGAAUGAGUUUGCCGGCUGCUAAUGACCGGUUCGACUUGAUGAUGACGUACCACGUUUGAAUGUCUUCAUGGCUUCUUGUGGUCAUGGAAAUUCCACUGUGGAUUCAACUGAUGGGCAUCCAACUUUGAAUUCAUGAUGUUGUUGCAUCCAAGACUGUGUCGUAGGUCUAACAAGGUGGGAAAUCAAUGCUCAUAUGGAAUUCGUAUUCCAUAUGCAAAUGAGAGGGUGUCAUAUAGAUAGAUACAUUCGAAAUCGUUCAUCCCAUUUCUUGUCUGUGGAGGUUACUGUUUCAUUGGAUGCAUGUAAUGUGGUCGUAUCGAUCUGUGCUCGAUCAAUAUCAUGCUUACUUUUCUCCGGAGAAGGAGAAGCGCCUGCAGUUUUUUGGACACGAAUCAUGAAAGAAUAUAAAUCACUGUAGGAGAACAAAUAAGAAAUAUAUCUUCUUUUGGUGACGCAUACACUUCGAAUCAUAGAUAUUGUCUACAUGACGCACAAAAGAGAUCAUCAAUCUCCGUGUUGAAUAGUUCUUGAUGCAGUUGAAACUGCGGCCAAGAAAUGGGUGAAGCUAAUCUUGUCUACUAUACAGGAUCUGUUCUGAUGAGUCGAGCAGGAAACACUGCAGCAAAUUCGCAAUGGUUAGUGCAGUCGUAAUGAGCAUUAAAGUCUCCUUUGAUCUCUGAAAGUUCCAAACAGUAUCAGCUAAAACCUCUACACGGAUGUUUGCAUCAUUUAUAGGACACAACGUUCCACCGUUCGUCUGUGUUUGAUUUCUACCUCAUCAGUUAUUCGAGCAAGCUACAAACUCUAUGUUUCUUCAGAUCUCUAUCCCAACAAUCUGCAUGAAACAUGUGAUGUUCUGCGUGUGUGAGAUAAUUAGUGCCGAAGGAAAUCAACAUAAAUGAACUCCGUCUACAACUGAUCUACAUAGAGAGAGAGAGAGAUAGAGAGAGAGAGAGAGAGAGAGAGAGAGAGAGAGAGAGAGNNNNNNNNNNNNNNNNNNNNGAGAGAGAGAGAGAGAGAGAGAGGAGCUCCCUUCAAUCCAAGCAUGAGAAGAAGGGGAGCAAGGUCGUCUCCUGAUGCAUGCCCACCAGUGGGGUGCACCCUGCGACUGCAUGGGGUUGCACCCCAAAGGUAUUCAUGAACCAGCAGAGGGAGAUACUCUCUUCCCCUCGUAGAUUGGACUGAAGAGAGCUCUUUAGAUCCCCCUUCUCUAUCUAUCUAUACCCGAGAGCUGUGGCACGAGAAACACGAAGAAACGAGGUGUGUGGUGAUGGCCUUAAAUAGGCUCCAAAUUGGGAAGAUGGUGACAGACGCUGAUCUAAUGCUGACUGUAGGAGGAGGGUAGAUUUCUCUCGAUCGCCGAGCGCUUGUUCACGUGAAUUUGUAUUCAUAUAGGGAGGAAAGCGAGAGGGCAUCUUUGCUGUAGAUCUCUUUCCGUAGCUUGUCUUUGUCAUCUAAUUAUGGGAAUCUCAUGCGCCACCGGAGACAAUGCAUUCAGCGAUUGCUUUGGCAUCUCCCUCCUGCAGCUGCACCAUCUUUGUUCGAGCUUUGGUCGGCACGAUGGCAGUGUUGUGAGCUUUUACCGGUGGGAGCUUUCGGAGAGGGAGAAUCGAUCCCUCGAUGUCUAUGUCGAUGCAUGCUUCGGUAAGUAGAUCUCACAUUACCUUUCUUGCGUGAUAAGCAUGAUGUCUCCGAUCCAUCAUAGCUGAAUCGACAACAGAUGUCACUCAUGUCGUUUCUUACAGCCAAGAACUGUUCUUCCGGUGACGAUGAUGACGCUGUCGUCGUUGGGUGGCUCUUCGGUAUCUUGCAGUCCUCUUCACGAAGAAGCUUCACUGUAGCUGAAGAUUAAUCUUGCCCGAUCACAACCUGUAAACGCCAUGAAAGAAUAGACAGAGAGUUCCAAGGCAAGUAUACAGAUAAUUUGCUUUAUGGAAUGAUGGAAAGAUGGAAUGUGAGGAGGUGACUGCCAACGAAAAGUCAGUCUUAGCAUAGAAGCAAUCACCAAACAAGAAUUGUUCUCGGGCAUCGAGGAGAAGACACGCAUCGCCAGAUUAGGUAGGCAAGAAAUACUGGUUUUGGCAAACCAAUCGAAUGCAAAAUUCGUGACCGGGAAUUGAAGUUGAUAGCUCAGAGUACUUAAUUGGCAUGCAUUUGGUUGAGACAUAUGUAAUUAUCAACCACAAAGCUUCAAUAUAAUAUCUCAUGUUUUGAUGCUUCCAACUCUUAAAAGAAACGAUUCUCUUUAUCUCAAGAGGAGAAUCCAAGUCAUUGUCUCAAACGCUGUGGGAACAAAUGCUUUGUUAUUUUGAUCACAUAAGGCUUUACCUACCUAAAUGUUGAUGUUAGCUAUGAAUGCCUUGAUAAACCCUUAAUAACCUUACUAUAAUCCGGAGAUUUUAGGAAGCACAAAAUCUCAAAAUGUAGAUAGAAGAUUUUAUCCCACUGGUAGUUGUACUAUCGAGUUCUCAUAAGAGUCUUCUCAGUACCACCAAUUCACCAUUACUUGGGUUGAGAUGUAGUAGAUUACAUGUCUGAUGAUUAAGGUGCAUAUCAAUUAUAGCAAUUACAACUGCAUUAAGGAUCACUGUCACUAUUGUAGUCUUUGCUUUGAUGUCUCUUUGCCUCAGAGAAGAGCGGCAUGAGCACUGAAAUAGGCAAUGCAGCAUAACACCAUCCGAAUACCAAAAGGAGACCCUUAUUGCAGUCAUCUUGCUAGAGGAAAUGCCAUAAAGGAAACCCAAACCAUGAACAGAUCGUCAUCCACUCUGCAAAACAACUCGCUGCAUACGAUGAGAACAAAACCAAGCUACCCCUUCCACUUCACGAAGUACCAUGGAUGAGAUUGAGGUGACUUAUUCGUUCUUCCUCACUGUCUUGCUCUAGCCACGGAGGAACGUCUCAAGGAUUUCAGACGAGUAUGCUUCCCCUCUAAUCUUGCCUCAAGCAGCUUUGCCUUCAGAGUGCCCUCUUUCGAUCCUUGUGCUGAUUUCGACGAGGAUUCAGGUGCAACAACCUGGUUGGGAGAGCUGAUCUGGUACUUCCAUUGUCGAACUGGACUAGUGAUCUGGUGAACGUCUCCUGAAUCAGUGUCUCCGCCACCAGCUGAACCAAGCUGAGUCCUCCACAAUAAAUGAUUGUGAGAGCUUUCUCUAUGAUGAUUACCAUGAUCCUCUGGAUAGCACUCAGAAAUUUCUGAAAGAUAUCUUAGUGAAUUAGCAGUCAGGUGCCUCGAACCACGCCAGCGAGCCCACGUCAGUUUUGUAUCGUGCCCAUGUUCCUGAGAGCAACGGUAAUCAGAUUUCUUCGCUCUAGAUAGUUCAAUAUGAUCCACUGCCACUUUGUCACUUUCUGCAUCAGUAGGAGAGUGUACUCUCUGCACCCUGUCAAAAAGCUGCACUUUGCUUCCACGUAACUUUGUCUUGUCCAUUUGUUCGCCAUAUUCGGACGAAUCAUCUUUGCUUUCAGAGCAUCCUAUCUUUUCUCCUGGUAAAGUAGAUGUUCUCUUGGAAUCCAGUUUUUCUAUCCCAUUUUGAGUAUUUUGUUUCGGCUGGUCACGACUUCCAUUUCCGCGAGUUGCCAUGUUAAGCUCGAAGCAGUGCAUCUCACUCGCAACAGAAUCAUCAUCAUCGUCAGCAUCAUGAGGCGCACUAGUAGUCCCAUUUAAGUGGACGGACUCGAGGGAUUGGCGCCGCAUAUUAGUGUCUUUCUUUUCAUCCUUUCGGUACAGACGAUCAUUCCCAAAGGCCCUGGACCUUCUAGCUCGAAGAAAGGAUUCAAUUUCACUGCUUAGCCUGUCUGUAAUUGUUGUUUUUUCAGCCAAAUCUCCUUGGUCUUCUGCAAUGUUCAUCUGAACCCGCUCAUCCAGCCAUGCUUCUGAUAUAUGAAGUACUAACCGAUCUACCUUAUGGUCGCAAGCUACUUGAGAUUUUUGCUUCAACUCCCUUACUUCCUGCUCAUAAUCUGUAACAGCCUUAGCAAAUUCAUCACAUAGGUCCUCCAAAGGGCUAUUUGUUUUUCUCUCUCUUUCUAGAUCUUUCACAGCCUUCAUGUAUGCUGCAUUCACUUCGGACAACUCUUUCCCAAGUUUCCGGUGAAGACUUUCAGAGCGUCUUCGGAGAUGCCUCUCAUCUUCAAGCUCAUCUCGUAUCGACUGCACUGCUGCUUUGAUCUUUUGUUGCUCCUUGUUCUUUCUAAUCAGUUUGUCUUCGGCAACUUGCUUCAUUAGAUCAUCCAUUUCAUGCCGAUAAACAUGCUGCUCUUGCAUCAGCUCCUGAAUGCGUGCCUGCGCAUGUUCUAACUCCACCUUCAAUGCUUUCACCAAUGAGACAUUGCAAGCAUGUUGUUCUUCCAGGCUCCAAAUGCGAUUCAGUACUUUCAAUAGUUCUGUCGAUGUUUGAAGACUAUAUCCUGCCUCCCCAAGCUUUCCCUUAAGAUUGACAGAACUGCUAGGAGUGAUGGCUUCACUAAUAGCAGCAAUCUGCAAGGUGCAGAUACAUGAACACACAACAAAAAUGUUAAUACAUCAGCAAAUACAUGUUCCUUUCUUUUAUUUUUUCAUAUAAGAAGCAAAAUAAGUUUUCACUAAAACAAAGAACAUAUGGUUCCAGCAAUUUGAUAUUAAGACAUAAUCUGCCAAUGUAAGACCAUUGGUUAACCUAAACUUGUAUUGUAGAUGCUACAGCACAAGCAUUACAGCACACAGGUGUCUAUUACAUGGCAUGCUAGUAUCUAAAACUAAUGAAAUGCCUGGUGCAGUCAUGCAUGAGAAGUUCACUAUAUGUACAAUGCCAAGACCUAAACGUGCCAUGCGAGGAACUGAGAGUCAAAUGCCUGAACAAAAAGUCAAUCAUUUGCUUUUACAAGUUUUAUCGUACAAUAUCUCAUGAUAAAACUAAAUCUGCCUGAAAUCAACCAUUACAACUCAAUUGUUGAACAUAGAAAGUUACAAGGCUUCAAACAGAGACCCAUAUAUUAAGUGGACAAUUCAUUCUUUUGUUUCCCCGAUGAUAACAGAAGGGGCACCCAAAAAAAAAACCUAGGUUAAAAUAUUAAGAGGACCCAAGCUGAGAACCUCUUCAGUAACAGUGGGCUAAGGCCUGAAUAAUGAGUGACUAAUCCAAGUAAUUAAAAUGAAAUCAACAUGAUUACCUCCAUAGAACUACUAUAACUUGCAGGAGAUACAGGUUGUAGGGCUCGACUAUUUCUCUCAUUCAACUUGUAAUGCUUGACCAAUGAAGCUGCAACUUGCCUCCUUAAACUACCUGCACUUUGAGGCUGUCACAAAAAAUGGAGAUCAUUAAUAGUACAGAGUCCCAAUAAUUCAGUAUGUAAAUUCUAUCUAACAAAUUAAUGUUCAUUUCAUUAAUUCAUGUCCAAAAAACUAGUAACCAAGAUUUCAGGACUAAACUGCAAGAUGGAAUUACGCGGAUGCAACAUUAUGAGAAAGAAAACAAGGUUGCAUGCAGCACACACAGCUUUUGGUGUACGAAAUUGUUUUUUUAAUUAUGACAAGGAAGUCACAACUUAUAUCAUCCUACAUCACAUGUAUAUCAUUUUUCUAAUCUUGUUACCAUAUUGGGUUGGGAUUUAGAGUUUCCACGUUACAUGACUGCUUCUGGAGUUUCCCUACAACUAUUUUUUGAGUGGCAAUUGAAUCUUUCAGUUUAUAUCACAAAUAAUAUCAUACUUAUUUCCAAGUAAAGCAUGAAAUUAGGGCUGUUUGAUAAUUGCACAAACACUAACAAGUCAAUGGUGUGUAUCAAUGUAUUAUUAAAGGAUCGGGUUGGCUUCCUUUACGUAUUGAUUGUCAUGAUUUUUGUCUGUCACAGAAUGAGGGCUAUAGAGACAAUAAUUUGGUGAUCGAGGUAUUCUUUAAGAUUUGAUUAUAGGAAUGGAAUUUAUACAUAAUGCAUAAUUUGCUAAAACUUGAGCAAAUAACUAAGAUGUUCUUACAAUUCAUACUAAUUUUGCACGCACCUGAUUCUAAUUACACAUGAAGAAAGGCUCAGAACUUAUUAUGAGAACAGACAGGCCUAAUAUAUUUUGCUGCAACAAAAAAGUGGAUUUGUUACAUAUGACAUGAAUAUUUCAUGUCAUGGUAAAAUUAUGAUAAGUAGAUUGCAUGGCAUCCAAAUUUGAAGCUUUGUGUGUAUCUACAAUGUGGAUUAAAAUUUUCAUUUCAGUUUCAAAAUAAUUGACUGACAAUUCAUCUUUGGGCCGUAAGAUUUUAAACUAGACAAGAGAAAAUAUUGUAUUUUUGAAAUGAUUAGAAAAGAACAGCAGAAAACUAAGUGAAAGAUGCAAAAAGAUAAUAGUUAAAUUAAAUUCCACAGGAAGAAGCACUCGAGAUCAGUCUCACAAAAAGGUAGUGAGGAAGAGAUAAGAUGGAAAUGAAUAUGAUAAGAGGGAAGAAAUAGACGAAGGGAAUAUUUUUAGAUUUCUGUGCUUUUCUAAUAAGACCACUGUUGAAAGCUAAGAAUAAGCAGCCGCCCUCGUUUCAACCAUAAUAAAGCUUCUGCCCGCCUAACCAUAUCAAUAAACCAUUCAGAUUCCUAAAACAAAUUUAAUAACAACAAACAUCUCAUCAAUGGGAGUCCUAUCUAAAUUCACAAAUAGACAUAGAACAUAUAAAAAUCAUAGGAUGAUCUUACAAUGGUAUCUAGAGAACAGAAAAUUAACCUAGAUUAAUGCUGCAUCAGUCUAAGGCUGAUGGAGACAGAGUGGAGUUAAUCUCUUGGAGCCAUCAAACUAUAGAACAAUCAGCAACCACAGAUGGCAUAUAUAACUUGCCACAUAUAGAAAAAGAAUCUAAACUAUAAAAGGUAGUACCAUAAUCAUAAAUAACCUAAAAAUAACUUAUGACAGUUCAGAGGUGGCAAAGUUUGCAAGUUGGUUUCAUGCAUAGGCACAGCACAACAUGCAAAAUGUACCAUGCUGGCAAUUAUCUGGUAUGAAAAGGUGUCUGCAUUGUAGUUCUUGGAUACACACGCUAACUUCACUCUGAUGGUGCCCGAAAUGGUCAUCCCAAAUGAAUCCACGAGUACAUCAUUAUGACAUAAGCCAUACCGGUUCAAAUUACCAACUGGAGAAAGAAAAGGCCAAGUUUUUGCGUUGAUGAAAGAGCCAGAGAAGGACCACAAAUCGAUGGACCAGGUUGAUUAUGAUGAUCAUAUAUGUAGCAAAGAACAUAUAUAAGUGGUUUUUACCAGGAAACAAGAAACUCUAUAAGAAUAAGUGCUCCAACAGUAAAGGCCUGAAGUUAUCUUUCAGUUGUUUCAACAGCUAAAAUUCUUGAUGUAAUGCUUACUUAAGUGGACCAAAUUUGAAGAUUUGAAAUGUAUGCUUAUUUCACAUACGGAAAUGUUUCCUCAACUUUUCUGAUUAUGACAUAGCCUACACCUUGAGAAGCAUAUAUGGGUGGAUGUCUUUGUGCAAAUAAUAUAAAUAAGCACACACUUGCAACAAGUCCAGUUUUCUCUUCUAGUUCCAUUCUAAAAUCACAUCGACUCCCCAAUAUCGAUUAAGUGGUUAACAUCUACAUCUACAUCUACAUCAACAUGGAGAGAACAAGGAAUCAAUUUAAUACAAAUUCAACACUUUUGUUCUUUUUCAAGUCAAACAGGUCCAGUAGCGACAAGUUCAUCAGUCAAGGCAAUUCUUGGCAGGAUUUCGAAUCUUUCUUUUCAGAAAACAUUCAUAUCUUUAUCUCAACGAGCUUUAUGUGAGAUGAAACAAGGGAUCACGUAAUCAAGGAAGAGACAUCGUCAGGUAAGACAUUUGAUCAAACACUUGAACACUACAGGAAAAGACAAACAAGUACAAGAACAUCAAAGCUAGCCACAAGAACCAAGAACCUUACCAGGUCCUCAUGACGAACGGCCAAGCGAUCGGGACCGUCAUCGAGCGCCUUCCCAUCGGCAUGGCGUCGGAUCUUGGCGCCCCUCCGGCUCAUCACGGAGACGGGCAUCAGGUCCUGGAUCUCCCAGAGGUUCGCGCCGAGCUUUCGAGCCGACACCGAGCUCCUCUUGGGUUCGCCCGCGUCGGCGUCCGCAGAACCGGCGUCCCCCAGCUUCCAGGUGGGCACCGGCGUGCAAAGACCGCCCUUUUUCCCCACAGUAACCCCUCUCCUCAGCUUUAAGCCCAAAGCGUCCUCUUUUACACCAGCACUCCCCUCCUCAUCAUCAAUUGCCACCCCUUUCCCCCCUUCCAUGGUCCCUUACACCUCUCCCUGCCUCUCUUUUCCUUAAAGAUCAAAUCUUUUUACCAUCAGCAGCCAUACGAUUUGCCCUUGCCCAUUCCCCCCUGCCUCAUGCGUCCAUAUUGCUGACUUUUCCUACUGAUCUGCUGCUUCUGGUGCAGCAGCUUGUUUGCUACUAGUACUGUGACAAUGGACCCUUUAUAGCGAAAAGGGCCUGAGAGUUCCCCGGCAACAGGCUGCUGCUCUUCCUCUCUCUCUCAUGGGAAUACUAGGGAGAAGUGAUCAAGCUGCAAAUUCAAUGGGGAGGAUGGCUUCCAAGGAUCAUAAAGGAAAAGUCUUUCAGGGUUGGCAUGAUUUGGUGUGCAAAUUGAGUGGGUGGCCCAGCUUUGGAGGGAUUUGUAGCCUUGCCAUGUAGUCCUUGAGGCCACAUGUCAAAGGAUGUCGUCUGGGACCAACCUUCGUUCCUCUCUCUCUCUCUCUCUCUAUCUCUCUCACAUCAUUGCAACUGAUCCCUUGGAAUUAGGAGAAUGAUCCUAACAACUAAUGGUUCCAUGGGAGGAUUGUUAAGAGGGGAGAACAUAUGAUUGCCAGCAAAUAAAUGGCAAAACGGUGCGAUAAAUUCAAAUAAUACCAAGUUGAUAAUAAUUCAUCAAAAGUAAUCGACAGAUUUAUUAGAAUCAAAUUAACUCCAGUAGAUAUUGUUAAGAAUUCAUGUGAAGGACCAACUUACGAAGUCCAUAAUCAGAUGAUCGUUAAUUGAGCUUGUAUUUGUUCUAUUAUCAAGAAUCAUUUGCUAAGAUCGUGAACAGUUCACUCCAAGUUUCAUUCUUGAAUGGACGGGCUGCUGGCACUAUCAACACCGGAGCUGACGGAUGUGAUGGACGCUACGCCUACCACACGGCAUCCACAACAUUACAUUUUCGUCUCCCACCGAUGGAAAUCUCCAUUAAACUUCUAGUCCUUGCACUCGUAGGAGGUGGGGACAGACGCUGAUCGAAGCCAUUGUUUACUCGUCGGUGUCCCAGUGAUGUGGAACAGCUGCAGCUCUGUGCCGCCGGUUGCAGGCGUUCCGCUGCUGCCAUGGAAAUGAAAGAAAGGAUGUUCAUCCAACUUGGAUCAGCUACACUUACACUCACUCCCUGCCAUCGGACUCGGAGAAGCGUGCAUCGCAAGGUAAGGAUUCACUGUGGUCCUGCAGCCAACGCCUCGCUGUCCGACGAAGAAGCUUAUACCUCUAAACCCUGAAGACCUCUCACCGCCACCGUUUCCUUUUCUUAUGGCCUUACAAUAUUGCAGGACUACAGUUCUGCCUCGCCCCAGAUUUUUUGAAGCAGAUGGCAUUGCCAACUGUCUUCCACGCUAUCUUUCCUCGAUCUCUUUCCCGGAAUCACAAGCUGCACACAGUAGCCAUGGCCAAGCAAUGAACGGGCAGUAGCAUAGCGCAAAUCUUAUGAGCUGCAUGCAUCGUAGUCUUUAGCUCUCGAAAGAACGACGGCAGGGUGGAAUCAUGGGCUACAGCACGGAAAUCUACGGGAGCCCUCGUACUCCCAAAAGCCAACAAGUUUCAUGGGACUUUGACUACGAAAUCCCCGAUGCAAAGGGCGAGACUCACCUGCCUCGCCCGAGAUGGGGAACACGGAGCAGAGGCCAUGCUUGAGCCAGAAUGGAGCUCCAUGAUGUCAACCUAAACAGUGGAUCCUAUCACUUCCGUGAGGGGAUCCCAUGUUCCUUGUCUCCGCCGAGACAGGACAACCCACAAGUGCGGAGACCUUGAGCCUGCAAUGAUGAUCCCCACGUGUUGCUCUCGUUCUACUCAAAGGCAUGGGAAGACUGGCUUGGAUGUAAAGAUGGAUCCAAAGCCGUUCCUGGAUUUGGACCAGAAGUAGUUUAUCGAUUUCUGCAUACCCAGGGCAUGUGAGCUGCUCUGGAAUAUGGCACUCUUAGGGUUCCAGACUCUCUUGGAUCCAAUGCUACCCAUAGAAGAUGAAUAGAGCAUGUUGGUCUUGCUGCAAUCCUGUUUGACCAAGAAUAGAGCAUGUUGGCCACCAUUAACGAUGGAUCAUGCUGUAUGUUGAUCAUGUGUUCAUCAUCAUCAUUCUUUAGUUGUAACUAGGGCAGCAUCUCCUGACAAGAUGCCAUUUCACCACCCAGAAAAGCAUUCCAGGAUGUAGCACUUGACAUUCAGUGAUUCUGAUGCAUGAUGAAGGAUGGUGUGGCACAUGAUCGUGAUAUUACAGUUGACCAUUGAUCCAUAAGAAGAUAAAAGCCCAAGUUUUGACUCAUAUAAUCUCUGUUGUGAGGAAUAUUUGUCUCCAAACUUGCAUAUCUGAUUCAGAUAUCAUAUCCCACUGUAAACAUCACAACUACAAUAUCAAGAACUCAGAUAUUUGUGUGUCCAAAAUCUAACUGAGAAGUUACCAGCUCAGCUUCAAUGCAGAUUGUAUGCAAGCCAUUACUUGCAUCAUACUUUUGGAAAAAAUGAUGAAGACAAAAGUAUAUAAGCAAAUUGGAUCAAUAUCAGGUUUUUACAGCAUAUGAUUAUUUAAUGGCUAUUAAACUACAGGGAACAAGAAUUCGAUAAGAUCGAUAUUACAACUUGCGGUACACUAUACACGACCAUGAGUAACUCCCACCUUGCUGUUGGCAAAACUUUGAAGCAGAAGCUUCGGUCAGUCUUUUCCGUUGCAUCUAAAAGCAAGAACUAUGUAAAAUGCCAUGUAGCAUCGGAUCCAUGAGAAUCUCAACAAAGAUGGCAGGCAAGAAAUGACACUUAACAAUGAUGUUUCAAAAUAGGUGGGCUUUGGAUUGGACGGGCAGCCAAGUGAUUGAAUCAACUCUUCCACAAGCAAUACCCGAAACUUGGUCGGUGUGUUAAGGACAACAUUGUCUACACGGUGCUCAUAUAUCUUUCCGGUCUUAUCAAGUUUGUACUCAGAGGUUCCAUCGAAGCGGCCAUGAAUCUCCCAAGGCACCCGAGGAAUGCCGUGAACAAUCCAACGAAUCAUAAUAACAUUCUCUCCAGGUUGCCAUAUGCUCACGAUGUUGAUCCAUAUAGCCUUGAAGAAAACAUGACCAUUGAGUCUCAGAGCCCAGAAUAUCCGUUUAUAGUUGUUAAUACCAACAAAGGUGUUGAGAGGGUCUUUGAAGACAAUAUCAUCCCUGGUCGAUAGCAAUAUAAAUAUGUUAAUCAUAACAAGCAUACGGUUCUAAUAACAUUGUCAUACUAAAUAGUGUACAAACAAGUAAUGCAUUUAAAAGGGAAGGUAAAACAUGGUAAAAUUAUGCAAUGCAAGACGAUGAAGGCCGACAUAUCUUCACAACUAUAACUUUUAAGGUUAUAGCACAAAACAAAUAUAAAUUUCAUUAGAUUUAUCAUGCACAAGCAAAAGAGAGAAAGUAUGGCGCCAUUGCCGCCCUCAAUCGGAAGGCAGGUAAGCAAAAUGGGUAAGCCAAAUAUGGGUGGAAGUAUUUUCAUAACUGGAAAGCCUGUGAAGAUCAUAAAUAUUCAAAGGCACUAAAUAAAUUUUUAACAUAUAUAGAUUGACCAGCAUCUGAAAAUAUCUAGAAUGAUGUAUGAAGUGGGUAGAAAUGUUGAAAAGUUUAUAGCUUCAAGGGGCUUGAAGUCAAAUUUAGGAGAUAUAGUAACGGAUUAUAAUGUCAUAGCGGGCAUAAAUUUUUCUAAAGAACCAAGUCGAUUUUCAAGUCUUGAGAACCACAAUCCCGAUGACAAUGCUUAUAAGGGACCACCCUGCUGGAAGAGAGAUGGAAAUUCAAAAUAAGAAAAAGUCCCCAACUUCAGGGUUGCACUUAAUAAUUACUUUGCAAAAGUCAUAAAUGCUCAAAACAAUUGUAUCAAACACGAUACGGGAACAACAAUGGGAAUCAAAACACCCAUCAAACCCACAUAACUGAAACAGUAGACAUCUACGAAUUAUUCCUAACUAUAAGCCAGUUUCAUACUUUGGCUUUGAAGUCUGGUCCCAAAUUCUCAAAAACAUAAAAUCCUCAGCAACAUGAUGCAUACCGAAGAUAAAGCUACUUCUUGUAUUUUCUCAAUAGCAUAGCUACUGGAGUUCAAUACUCGUUUGAUUCAUUCCUAGUUCCAUUCCAGCUGAUGAGUCUAUAGCCGUAGAGCCAAUCGAACUAUUGCCAGUGAGGACAAAGCAGUACUACAAAUUCUUUUUUUAUAUUUUGCACUUAGUUUAAUCUCUGGACUAACUAAUUGCAUGAUAAGAUUUUGCAGGUGGCAGAGCCGAGAAAGAGCAAGCAAGCUACUUCAAAGCUCUAAAUAAAUUUCUACAGAUUCAUAUAACUCUGACAGUAAAUUGAUACAUUGAAGUCUACUAAAUCCAAGAAAAACGAACUUUGGAAUGCAAUAUUCAAUCACGAUAAGAUAAACUAUUCCAACAGAUUAACCAUUAAUCAACGGGAAAAAAAUUCCAACUUUUCUAAGAAAAGUGAAGGCAUCAUACAAAGAGGAACAACAAACCUGUAUAUAUCAUAGUUGGGUUCGCGCUGGAAGAUAUCAGGAAACUCUUCCCUCAAGGUACGAAUCGCGUAUCCCAUGUUGACAUAGUAAUCUUGCCUCUCGUCGCCGCCAUCCGUCUGCUGCUGCUGCGGGCUCACAGAAGGGGACAGAGGAGAAGACGAAGCGCCGUUGAGGAGGGGAACGAAAAAGAGAGGGGGCAAACCUUCAUCCCGCAAGGGAUCGGAAACCCUAAUCACCCUCUCCUGCGCCUCGUCCUUGACCCGGCCAUAGGCGCAAACCCUGGAGGGGUUCUUGUUGGGAUCACCGCCACCGCUGCAGCUCGGCCGACGGAAGUUUAGGGUUUUGGCUGCACGAUUUUGGGUGAGGGUGAUCUCGGUGAGAGGGAGGAGAAAAGCCAUGGAAACUUUCGAUCGAGGGAAAGAGAGAGAGAGACGCUUACAUGAAGGUCGGAUUGAGAGUGCCGGACAGAUUUUGUCAGCGAACAGAUAGGAAUAAGAUUCGAGAUAUUCCGCUCCAGAUAACAUGUAAAGGAUCGGUUGGUGGGGCUGGGCGGGCCCUGCCUCGACAAUGACAGAUCAUCAUGUUAUCACCGUCAUCAUCAGGGUGAUAAAAAGAUAUAUAAAAAUUAAUAUUCUAUUUCUUAUUUCUAUAGCAUGUUUCUUUGUGGUCUUCAGUAUCAUAGCGUCGCCGAUGUCCUCGUCUCAGAGAAACUGACUUUAUUAUAAUCCUUUUUUUAAUAUAUACACAUAUUCAAAAUUUAAGUUUCAUAAUAAUUUAAAUAAAUCUUCGUAGAGCAUAUUUUAGCAUUAUGUGACAGUACCGAUAUUGUAUAUCCGUAUCGUGACACCUCGAGCUUGUGCGCGAUGGGAAGUCAUACCCGUGCUACUCGGGAUUGUACAAGGCGGCAUCGCCUAACAUGGAACCAUCCGCGAUGGUAUAAGAUAACACCACACCAUGCAGAACCUUGCGGGAUGGUCCAUGCCGUACGGAACGCACAAGGAAUCAACGGUCAUUAACGAAUCUCAUAUGAUCGAUUCUCAACGACAGAUAUAAAAGUCAAUCCCCUUAUCAAUGCCAAGGGGAUCCUUGAACACCAAAAUUAUCCUAAAUCCAUAUAAUUCUAACUUAAGCUUCGAUGGGAUCAAGUCGAAAAUUCUCUUCACAACAUUGACUUUUUCUUAUCAGGGAAGCAAUGAAGGCACGAGCUCAAGUCCUACCUCGAGUCGAUCCACGAGGUGCUUUCCCGACCCACCGAGGUUCUUCCGUUGCCACCUUAGACUUCUACGUGAAUGACUUUGCGUCUCAAGAUUGAAUCCAACCAUACUGACUCCUCAACCACGAUCGAAUCAAACCAUACUGACUUUGCCACCUUAGACCUUUUUUUUAAUUUUUUUUGAUAAUUUUAUUUUAUUUUUCGUGAUUGCUUGUGCAGGCCAAAGUAGUUAAAGCUCCAAAGGAAUCAGAAAUCUAAGUACUUGUUUUUUAAAAGGGCUGUCAUCGAUUGCUGUGCUUGGCAUUGUUCGGAAUCAGAAAUCAGUGGCUAUGAUAUAGCAGAGUUUGACAGUGAUAAAUUAUAUUUUAAAAAUUAUAUUAAUAUAUUUAUAUUUAUAAAAAUAAAAUAUUUAAUUUUAUAUUGAUUCUAUUAACGAAAAUAUCACAGUGAUAAAUCAAAAUAAGAUAAAAUCAAUACGUACUCAAUAAUAAAUUUUAGAAUAUUUUUAUCAAUAAAUCAUCAUUGAAGAUAAAUAAGAUUAAAUAUUUCACUUUUAUAAGUAAAAAAUUCUCAAUGUAAUUUUUUAAAAUAUAAAAAUUAAGAUAUUAAAAGAAAUAAUUAUAAAAAAUAAUAUGUAAUAAACCCAUGGAGAGGUGAAUCAGAAUCCAAAUUGCAAAGGUAGCACCAGGUGAAUCAAAAUCCUAAGUUGCUAAGGUAACACUGGUCAACUUGACGACAUUUCCAGGUGCUGGCUGCAUGCACUACAUUUUACAUGUCGCUUGAUCUUUAGAUCAAAUGAUAUAAGACAAGCUCUUGCUAUAACAUUACAAGCUUCACUGCCAACAAAGUGAGAAUCCAAUCAACCACAGGAAGCCUCAGCUCUCUCUCACGUACAUACAAAGAUCAUUGAACCAACCCAGUGUCACUGAUAAGACAAAAUGUAGAGACAUGGACCUCCCACCCUAGAGAGCAUAACCUUCAAAAUCUCAAAACCAUGAAUUGUCUCAUGAAACAUUACACCAAGACACAUCUUCUAAUUCCCUAGAAAGAACUUGCUGUCAUGUUAGAAAUCACUGCUUCACAGGUCACACAAGAUGUUUCCAGAAAGACAAAUGGUAUAUCCAAGAAAAUCGAACCAUGUCCAAAUAAGAUAGAACAUGAAAGACCCUCUCAACCUUUUACUUUCUAUUCCAAAAUGCAUAAUAAAGUCAUAAUUCCUUGUACUUUUUGUUUCAUGCAAAAGUAUAAUUCCUCUUGAAGCCUAAAAUGCUAACAAGCCGCCUCCUCUGCCAAUAAAUAUAAGUUUCUAUCUGAUCACAGAAGUUACAGCUGAAACCAGAUUCAGAUUGAACAUAGCAUACAUCAGAAUGCUAACACAGUGUGUGAGAGCAUUGUAGUUUGUGCAUAUUAGUUCUACAGACAUUGAAACUACUUGCAUCAAGAUGAUGCGAGCUUGAUUAUAAUAGAGAUUGACCUAGAGACGAAAACUUCAAAUCACAAAGCUAGAUCCAUCCAAGUUAUAAAGCUAAGUACUGUCUAAACAAGUUGAAUAUAAGUGUUCUGAUCUAACCACAGAUAAGCCAUGACAAUACUAAGAAAGCCACAUGUAUCCACUGCCAAGCAAAACCUAAUACAUAACGGAGUACCUUCUACAGUCUAGUGCUUCUUGUCCUUCAACGGACCCCUAGGGAUCUUACUAAGAACCUUGUCAUCAAGCACAGCAUACUGCUUCUUGAUCUCUGCCAUCGCCUUUUCCGCUGCAGCAUCGACCUUAUCCUCGUACUUCUCGUAGAGAACUGGCACUGUGUGCAGUGUCACGAACACUGAUUUCCAGGAGAACAAGCAACCAGAAGAAUUCAGCAGAUGCAUGUCGAACACAACUCGCAGUAAGUUACACAUUACAAAAGCUCACUUACAUAUGUAUACCAAGGUCAAGAAAUUGACCGAGCUUCCGACCAUCGACAGCAACCAGAGCCCAGCAAUCACCUAAAACUCCAAAUGUCAAGUACCAAAAAAGGAAAAGGAAAGGCUUGUAGGGAUGGCAUCGAGAAAGUCAACGUACAGUAAGAAACUUCUUUACAUCCCGUCCCAGUGCAACCUCCCUGAGAACAGCUAAGGCCCUGUUCAUCUCAUACCUAAGCGUGCGCGCAACUUGCACAGCUUGGUCUUCAGGAAUGCUCACCUCUGGAAUUCGUGGCGGAGAUCUGAAAUGCAAAGAGCCUCUUUCAGUCGUUCAUUCACUUCAAGAUGAAGACUAGAAGAUCAGAAAAGCCCUACUUGUUGAUAAAGGUGCAAGCUUUGGACCACAAGAAGAGGAUCACUAAAGAGAGUAUGAGGCCAUGGCACACAAAAGUCAACAGAUGGUAGCCGACUAACUCGAACAUAACCCAAAUAGCGGUAGCAGCGCUGAGAGCUCCAGCUGAGAUCUUCUUGUCCCUCCACAGCAUCACAUCAGCAGCUAAAAGCGAAGCAAAAAGAAGCAGAGGAAGCAAUUAAAUAACAAAUAUAUGACAUAAUCAAGAAGCAAAAUCUUUCGUUCUUUACAUACCACGCAAAGAUAUAUUUCUUUAAUUAAAACCCAACAAAAAAUAGCUUUUUUUUAUUGAUUAUCCUCAAGAAAAGCAAUACGAACAUCUUUGCCCUAAUUGUAACCGAAGAAGCAAACGUUGAUUCUUGAUCUAGUUGAUCACGUAAAGAUCGAGUAUUUUUGGCUAAGAAUCGAAAAAAAACUUUUUUUCUGUAGAAUACAAACAUUUUUUACACAAAGAAGAUGAGCAAUACCUUUGCCUCGAAGGAACCAAUAAUUAAGCCAGUCUAGAGUUCAUAACCGGAAAGAAGAACUACGCAAUACUCUAAUUGGCAUCAUAUCUGUUUCCUACUCUUUCCCCAAAAAAUCGAUAAUCCCAGCAACUUUCCGGAAGAAGAAAUUAAACUGUUAUUAUAUCACUAGGGGAGCACUACUACACUUCGAAUCAAGUAAAAUACAGACACCAAGCACGAUUGAUCCGAUCUACACGAUUCCAAACAAAGUCACCACACAAAAAGAUUCAAACUUUACCCAAGAUGCGAUCAAAAACCGAUCCAAUAUUUUCAAAAAAAAAAAAGCAGAUCACAGAAAAGAAAAAGAAGGAAGAAAGUUUGUCCGAUCGCUACAUUUGCCGCCACCGAGCACUUGGUGGACGGGCUUCUCCCUGCCGAAGAGGCGGUAGACUUUGGCUUUGACGGAGGAAGACUGCACCGGCUCCUCGCAAUCGGACUCGGAAUCGGAGGAGGAGGAGGAGGAGCCAGCAGGUUUGCGUGGCUCCUCCUCGAUCUUCUCCGUCACGGUCGACUCCUCAGAAUGCUCCGCCAUGAACCGCUCCUCGACUUCGCUCCUCCUUUCCUAUCUUCUACCGUGAGAGAUGAGUCAUCGGCUUCGAGGCGUUUCCUUUUAUGGCAACACAAAUCAGAGAAUGGCGAAGAGAAGCGAUCAGAGCCGUCCGAUGAUGACUCGUGUAAGACGCAGCCGAGCGCUGCUCGAGGUGCGUUGGCGUUUCCAGAAGAGUCAAGCCGAGUCGACUCAAUUCUCGAUCCGGUCCUCGAUGGGUUCGGGUCAUUCAACAUUUGAUCCACGGUCCACUAUGAUUGACUGACAGAUAGAAACAGGUCGGCCAUUGCCUGCUUUGGCUCCGUUAAUGAGGAACAACGCUAUCCUAAAUCGUCUAAUAUGUGGCGAGCAGAGGGGUGUCCGGCACAACAAACGCGACACGUGCAUAUGGUGGUAUCCUGCCAUAGAUAGUGUCGCGGUCCUGGGAAAUGAUGAUGGGAUGCACGUGGAACGCCACGUAGUGCGCCAACACAAGAUUGGGCUGAAAUGGGCCAUCCAAUUUUGCAGCAUGAUCUCCACAGCCCAGUCUGCCGCUGGAUAACGGAAGCACUGAAGCGUGGAAGAAAGAGGAGAGAGAGAGAGAGAGGAAGAUGAAAGAGAUGCGUUUGCAUGGAAAUGGAUGCCGGUGGAUGUGAUAUCAGAACCAGUUCCAACCCCCGAGAAAAUUUAUCUUGAGAAGGGUUUAUUCUCUGGGAUCAACCAGGAAGAGGAAAUUAUUUGAGCAGGACGAUGGUGGACUGCACAGCCCUGUUUGGCUACUAGAAAACAGAGUCAUGUGAGCAAUACGUCGAGCCAAGCCGGCGCAGAAGACUCUGCCACCGCCACAGCCGCUUCCCCCCAACAGCAUCAAACCGAAUCGAGAGCGCGCACGCGACGCGAAGCAGGGGAGGGCAGCUUUAGAGGGGGAGGAAAAGGCGCAUCUCGCUCGCACUCCGACAGUGCUCCCCACGUAACAUCUGAUGCUGAUCGGACGUAGCGCACGGGCUCACCACCACCAUUGAUGAGGCUCGUCAGCGCCCCGACUCGUCCUCUCGCCGUACCGUAUCAUAUUCCGCUCUGUCCCUCGCUCUCGACCUCCUCUUCCCCUCCCCCUCUCUCUCUCUCUCUCUACCAACGAGGAGAUGAACAGUUGAUCGCCAUCACGCCGCAGUCGCAUGGUCCACAGUCAUCAACACCAUCAUCACCAAGGCAGAGGAAGAAGACGAGAGGGAGUGGGCAGGGAUCCACUGCAACCCUCCUUUCAGUUCCAAUUUUGAAACGCGCACACGACGACCGCGGACUGACGGGGGCCCACGUCCAAGCAGGUGGACCCCAAGCGGUCUGGACCGUCUGAUGGGGAUACCGGUUCCGUGCUCUGUGUACAGAAUCCGGACGGUCCCCUUCUGUUCUUCUCGUCCCUUCAUCUCAGACGCAGUCUUGUCCUUCACUGAAAGAAAAAAAAGAAAACUUCUUAUUUUUCCUAUUCGACAAUUAAAUAAAUGAAAAAAUAAAAUAAAAAAUCAAUUCUGGUUUUGGGUGUGGGACCCUUAAUAAUUGUGCCGCUUAACUGGGACCCACAGAGCAGCCAGUGUCUAUUUUCUGGGAGUUGGUCCUUUAUCUCCCGUCGUAAUGAGUGACUACACAGUUCGCAUAAAACCUCGUUUAAAAUCUGCAAAAAAUAUGUAUUUGUAUUAUUUUGAAGCUAAGAUAAACUAAAAAUACUACGGUAAUAAGGUGUACGGGUUGAUGGUUGGGGACAUAUGGAAGCGGAGGUUGGACCGGGUUCCACAUAAGGAAAUAUUUCCCGUGCAAGCCGGUAUUGAUCUGGAACUUGAAAUGUGGUGUAUUGACCCAAAAUUUGCUUUUAAUAGAAAUGUUGACUCGAUUCAUUAAAACCCAUUACGAAAGGUGGUAGGUCGACGGACAUGGUCGCGUUCUAAGUCGCCCGCUCCUUAGGUCGACUGAAUCACCCCGGAGCGAUUUCCCGGGCCGAUGUGUUUGUUAGUGUGAUGCUGUGGGACCCGGGCGGACGGGCCCACGCGUAUUUAACUUGGUUUUCGUGGUUAGGGAGAGAGAGAGAGAGAGAGAGAGAGAGCGGGGGAGGGGACGCUGAGACGUACUGACAGCAGCAGCUGUAGCAGAAGAGGAGCGACGAAAGAGACGACUCCAGGAAGAAGCGUAAAAGGAUUUAAAAGGUGGGAAAGAGACCCCCCGGUGUGUAUGAGUCCCCCGCCGGCCAUGGACUCGUUCGGCUUCCUCAAAUACCUGCGCAGCGGUGGCAACGCCACUAGCCCGGCCAUGGACGACGCGGCAGCCGCCGUGGAGCCGCACGACGCCGGCGCCACCAUCGCCACCUCCGUACUCUUACCCUCCGACGAUACCGAGGACGACGACGACGACGACCACGACCAGGACGAAGGUCCUUUCUUCGACCUCGAGUUCGCGGCCGUGACAGACGACGGCGGCUGCGAGGGGGAGGACGAGAAGAACGGCUCGGAGGUUGACCUCGACGGUGCGGAGGCGGAAGGAGAGGAGGAGGAGAGGGAGUUUAACUUUGCGGUGAGCUCCGACGGAAGCGGAGGAGGCGACGGCGGAGAUGGGCACGGGUUCGACACCUUUUCUCCCUCCCAUGACGAUCUCUUCUUCAAGGGGAAGCUCGUCCCCUUCGACGCUUCUUCCCUCGUCAUCGCCGCCGCAGCCGCCGCUUCCGCUGCUUCCGAGGCCGAUCCCAAGCCCCAGUUCCCCGCCUCCUUUCUCAGAACCGCCACCAAGUUCCGCGUCUUCUUGCUUGGGCUCCGCAAACCCAAACCAACGCCGGCAGAGCCCAAUGCCACCGCCGUCGUCGCCGACGCUGAAGCUCCCGCUUCCGCUCCCGUCCCCGCCGAAGCCCCUGCCCCCCCAGCCACGGAGGCGGCGGCGUCUCCUAAGAAGCAGUUACCUCAUCAGAACAAGUUCUUUAUCAAGUUCAAAGUGGUGGAAGCUCCGAUCGUUUCGUUCUUCGCCCGAGACAGCAGCUCCCGCAACGGAGGCGGCGGCAGCAGCGCCGCGAAACCUCUGCCUCCCGCGGAUGAAUCCACCGUUGCCGGUGUGGCGGCGACGGAGGCAGAGGAGAAGAAGUUGCUAAAGGAAGUGCUCCAGAAAUAUCUCAACAAGAUCAAACCGCGGCUACCGCCGCCUCCGACGGAGGAGUCUGCCGUUGCAUGCGCGGCGGCUGCGGAGGCAGAGGAGAAGAAGUUGGUAAAGGAAGUGGUCCAGAAGUAUCUAAACAAGAUCAAGCCGCUCUAUGUUCGGGUCUCGAGGAGGUACGCAGAAAGGUUGAGGCUGGCCGGGCAGCUCCCUCCCGCCGAAGCGAUGGCGGCGGAGGCGACUACCGGCGAAGGGGAGGAAACGGACGCGGAGGCAGAAGUCGCAGUGCCGCAGCCGCGGCCAGCAACUGCAGCGGUUGCGGCGGCGGGCGGGGGCAAGAGCCUGGUGGCGGGGCUGAGAGUGGCGUGCAAGCGGCUGGGGAAGAGCCGGUCUGCGUCGUCGGCCGUGGAGGCUAUCCCGUCGCCGCCGCCGAGUCGGCGAGACGACUCGCUCCUCCAGCAGCAGGACGGUAUCCAGAGCGCCAUCGCGCACUGCAAGCGGUCCUUCACCGCCGCGGAGCAAGGUAUGUCUCUGGCGAGACAUCACGCUGUCCCCAUCAUCGUUUGUUUCGCCUAUACCAAGCAAGUUUACUACUAUAUGGUUCCUCUGCAGGUUCCGAGUCGCCGCUGGUGAGAUCGAUGAGCGAUCCCGGCGACGGGAGAUCAGAAACGACCACCGCGUCGCCCUAAGCAUCGGUUCUCCACCGCAGCCAAUUCCCCCAUCCCCUGAGAGUGCGCACGUAGAAGAAGCAGAAAAAAUCUAUGCGUUACAAUUAUAUUCCAUCGUCUCUUUUCAGUAGUUAGUAAGUUAGCCUCGUGAUCAUAAAGUUCAUGUCCGUUCUCCGUGAAGAACAAAGCCGCCGCCUCCUCCUCCCGAACAGUAUAGAUUUCAGGUGGUAGAACAUGCAGUGUGAAGAGUGCCGAUGGGGGUGAAGAGGGGAUGGUAAAGAGGGGACUUUCUCUCGGUUAUUCCCAUGCCAUGCGUGAGGAGGAGAACAAAAGAGACAGAGAUGUGAAAAAUCUCUCCCAUGGCAUCGGGAAAGCUGCCAUCAUCUUUCCCCAAUCUCAUUGUAAUAUAUUGAGCACUGAUAGGCUCUGCCACGCAGUGCAACUGCUUCUGUACCAAUCAAUGUACUACGCCUUGUAUCUUUGCCGUCUCUUUAGCUUUCUGCUCUCUUUCCCAUUCACUACUUUCCUGGCGUGGGUGGUCACAGCUACCUGAAAGCCCGCUGCUUUUUAUGUUCUUGGAAGAGAAAAAGCAAAGCGCCCGAGUCCCGCAGAAGAAGGUGGGAAAGGAAGGAGGGGUGAAAGCGCGAGCUCUCCUUCCCCUCCCUCUUUUUCUUGCUUCUAGGUUUAGGCUAGGUUGAUGGCAGGGCUUCUCCAUGCCGAAAUGACACCUCGUUCCUCGCGAAACACUUUGCUGCUGCUGCCUUUCUUUACGCUCUCAAUGCUGCAAGUUUGACACGUUAGGGAUGCAGUUUGUCUGCUUCCAUGCUUGCAUGGGACUGCACGGCCUCUGCAUUAAGACCUAACAUUGUAGCUGAAGCCCGGAAUCUCGACCAAGGUGUCAGCCUUCUGAUCUCAUCCGUAGUUAACCCUAAGCGAAUCCAAUGCUCCAAAGUUACACCGCCACCUUCCUCGCUCCUCCUACCCUCAACUAAUGCGCAGUGCGUCCGUCUUGGAGCUGAGCUUGGUGGCACUCUCGAGCACCGUGGCGUUUCGGGUGGGGAGUUGGUGAGCGUGCAGCAGUAAAGAUCGCAAUGAACUCAACUUCGACCAUGGGCACCUCCAAGGAAUGGGAUGACGGUGACCAUGAUUCUUGAAUCAAAGAAGCAUAUGAGCUUGUCUUUACGGGAGAUUAUUAUACAGUACAGUAAAUGGUGGACCAGAUUUGCAUGAUGCAGAUGUGUGUCUCUUGUCCUGCCAUUGGGAAUGGACGACGCCAUCAGCACCACACCACACACCAUGGAAGCACUGUUCAUGUGGGUCACCAAUGAUUAUUAUGCUAUGAAGCUAAGAGUUAAGCCGUGUCAAACAUCUGCAGUUUCCAUUAAGAACAGAGCACACAGGAUGGACUGUGAAUGCUGUGUUAUUAAUGCCAGCAUUAUUGAGUGUGGGGCUGUGGCACCAAAACCUUAGGCUACAGAACAGUGGGGGAGACGAUGGACAUGGCCAGGGAGACCUGGUCGUGUCCCGGGGUGGGAUCACCGGAACCAUUCAUCGAAGAGCAGCGGGGAAGACGAUGGGCAUGAUAUCGGCUGCAGAGAGCUUGUCACGUAGGCUGGUGGUGGCGCUACGGAGGCGGGGAGCGCGGUCGGGGCAUGUGAAGAGCUUUGAAUGAGCGCACAUGCCACUGCCACCUUCCCCUUCCGUCGCUGAGGAAACCACCAAAUCAGUCUCAGGAAACUGGAGAUGACUCAGAGUAGAAAGCGGUGGGGAGUGUUCUUGGUUACUCUCGAUUCAUUUUGACAGAUCCUUGUACCAUUUGAGAGGUUAAAAUAUUUCUUGAUUUCUUGGAUACAAAAUGAGAAGAUGAUAUUUCAUCUAUACAUCAUAAAAUAACAGGAAAAAUCUAAACAAAGAAUGAUCGCGAACCUGAGAACAGCAACUUGGAAGAACAAAAUCUCGCUGCAUUGUCACUUCACAUUCAACCGAUCCACCCCAAAGAAGUUGAAUUGAUGGCUCAACAACUCGCACUGUCAUCGUUCGUCCACCGCCUCCAUCAACGCCAUGAACGCAUACUGUCUCAUCCGGCAGCAGGUGGGGGCGAUGACAGGAGACGCCUACGGGUCGCGACCCAAGUCGUGCGCCCAGUCGCGAGGCAAGGUGCCUGGGCAGCGCCUCUGUGCCUCAAAUCCCAAGCAUGAGGUGACCCGGAGGACUCAUGGCGUGUUGCUGACUUGAGGGACAGGUCAAAAUGGAUGUGUUCUUCGUGGGGGGGCCUUCGUUGACACCAACAUAAACCUAAAUCCAAUGCAUGGAGAUGCCGCUCUGCAGUCCUUUUUAUGUCAUGUCAAUUUGUGUACCUACACUUGUGCUUCAAGUUUAAAAGAGUUUCAAGAACAAACUCUUUACUGGAUAGAUUAAUCGCCCUAUCUAUAUUUAUUUUCUAAAUGGUAUAUUCUUCUAUGAAAUUGAUUAUUAUAAAUAUAAUACUAUAUAAAUAUAGUAAUUUUAUAAAGUAUAUUUUCCUUUAAAAUCAAUUAUAUUAUUUUCAAAGUUUUACCAAAUCAAUCUUGAGCAUUACUUUUUGUCAAAAAAAAAAAAAGUAAUAUGUGUAUCGACAUCUUUCGCUUUCGAACUAAAGUCAGAUAUGAGACACGAGUAUAUUUUUUUUUUUUUCGUAUUCUCGAUACUCAACGAAUCUCUUCUUUUGAAUAGAAUAGUACUAAAAAAAUGAAUCGAAUCAUUUUUGUUAGGUCAAACUAAUGAUCAAAUCUGAAAUUUAAAGUAACAUAAGAAAAAAAAACUUACUUUUGCCCAGAAAACUGGUGCUUCAAAUGUUUCUGAACUUGUUUUGAGGCAAUAACUUGACUUGUCAUUGAAAUAGCAGCAUGGUUCUCUUGGUGUAUUGAGUCCAUUCUUUGGCUGCAAGGAGAUGAUAUCAAAAAGUAUCCAUUACCCCUUAAGGUGUUCCCUUCAUAUUCAUAAUCCCCUGAUGAUAUGUCUCAGAGAUGGACAAUGGAUUCUUCUGAGAGGAUGAACCAUAAUAUUCAGAGCAUUUAUUUUUCUGCAAAGAUCAAGAACAACAUGCACAAUACAGCAGCUGUGACUGGAGAACAGAGGAAAAACUAAUCUGAUCAUGUGCAUUAGCAAGACUAAUCUUUUGAUGUGGACUGAUAUGGGCAUGCAGGACCAGAGAUGAGAUGGGCAUUUAGAGUCUGGAGAGGUUAGUGAAAGACCUCAACAUGAUGGGGAUAUGAACUUGCAGCUUUCAUGCACACCCAUCAUCCUUAAAUAGAAGAAGACAACCUACACACACACGCAAGCUUGGAUGACUUCUUAUGAGGUGGUGAGAGGCUCUCUCUAUCAUGAUAGAUUACCUUGAAAACUGAAAGGAGCUUUGCAAGCUAGUUUUCACUUAUUCGACUACAGAUUGCCAUGAAUUUAAGAUCCAAAUGCUUCGAGUUGUGGAUGCUGUAUUCUCGAUCCUUUAACAACAUCUUGAUGAUGUUUUAAUGGUCAGUGAGAUAGUUUUAGAAGAAGACGAAGACGAAGAAGAAGAAGAAGCAAGACAUCUAAAUUUAUUGAGUCAACUAAAACAGCCUAAGUUUUCAGGUAUGAUUCUGUCUCUUGCAUCAGAAGAAGACAACCUAAACAUGACACCAUUGGGAGAAACAACAAAGCUAGAAAGAAGAGGUUGUGAGUACACCCAAAUGCAUCAAAUUAUGAAGAGCCAAAUAAAUUGUGAUUGAAGAACACACCCAUAUGCAAAUUGCCAUUGAUGACUUGAUGUCAGCAAACCCUGGUGGCAUGCUCAAUCCAAAGACACUUUCAUCUUUGUCUGGGUGUGCUAUGGACCUUUUAUCCUAUAGCCCACGGCCAUGUCUCUCGGCAUAUAGAAUCACAUACUUCUAGUUUAUCUAUCAAUUGCUCAAAGGAUCUUAUCAGUGUCGACAUUUGGAAUCCAGCAUUUUUGUUUGAGUUAUUAAUGACAAAGAUAAUGCUUCAUGUUGCCAAGAUAUUGGAAGAACAACUCUUCAUUUAGGACUCUCCAAUCCCAUGCUGCGAUCAUUAACUACAGUAACUUAAGUCUAAUCAAAAGAAAACAAUACAUCAUAUUAGAAGAGUAAGACUGCUUCUCCAAUCUUAUCCUUCCUCCCCAUAUGAAAGCUUGUCCAAGAUGUCGAGGAGAUUAGAUGACACGUGUAGUCUAAGACUGUAUACUGAGGAGAUGAUGAGACAAAGAUGCAAAGAAGCAGGUUUGCAAAGAUCACAGCAGGAAAAAUAACUCAUAUAAUACAAGGAAACACUAAAAAGAAGCAAAAUUGUGUAUAGAGUUGAAGACUUUCUAUCUUUUCAACCGCUAGCAAUCGAGAGAGAGAGAGAGAGAGAGAGAGAGGUUAAUCUUUUUCCUCAACAGUGAUAGGUAGUCCUUUCUAUCUCUCCUCUGUCUCUGUCUCUUGUUUCUCUCUGCUCUCUGCCGGCAAAAGAACGAACAGAAGAGGAGGCAUCAGCAGCGGCAGGCGCGUUGUUACUUGUAGACAGCCAUGGCGCAUGGCGACGGAGAGAAAAGGCAGUCUCACAAUUCACUGUCAUCGCCGACGAACGCCUCCGCCGCCGCUGGCUGCAGGGCUAGCACCUUCCUCCACGCCGCCCACCAAGAGCAAGUCGUCCUCGCCCAUGACCUCCAUGUCGUCCGCCAAUAUCAUUCCCUCCUCUUCGUCCACGUCCACGUCCUCGUCCUUCCCCUCCAUUGGCCGACGACGGAGGAGCUCGUCCUCCAUGGAGUUCGUGAGCGGGGUGGUGGGGGAGAGUCCGGUGGCAGUAGACGACGACGGGGGACUGGAGGACGGGUUGCCCGGGGGCGGGUGGUCUCCUUCAGGGGAGGGUAACUUGUGGCGGGUGCUGCCGGCGAGGGAGUUGCGGUGCGUCGGCGCAGGGUGGUUGUGCUCGGCGGUGUAGGUGAUGAUGAAGAUGGCCGGGUCCGCCCGGCUGCGCUCCACCUGCUUACGGGCAAGGCACCCCUUCGAGCUGCUACACCUGUAGUAUCCCCUGUUUCCCAGCCAAAUUUAGCUCCUUUCUCGCUUCUAUGAGGCCACAGAGGGCGGAAGGAGGUAGAUAAGCUUGGCUUACCGCGGAUAAGGAGAGCCCUUGAUGGGUUUCUGGCCGUACUUCCGCCACGCCCACACGUCGGAGGAGAGCCCAGCGGCCGGGACGUGGCACACCACCUUCUUCUGCUGGUUCUUCCUGGAAUCGCCCAACCAAAGGGCCAAUCUUUCAAUCUGACCCACAAAAGAUCGACAAGGAUGAUGACAUAUCUCCUUACUUUCGUUUGGAACGGGGGAUUUGAGAGACAGGCCGGUGAGAUUGCCUCGACGGAGGCGGUUGAUGCGGCCCCGCCACAGCGACAGCAGCCCGCGGCAGCUGCUGCCGGACUUUGGGGAAGAAGGGCUUGCAGAGCUCCUCCAGCUCCCAGACACCAUCCCGGCCACGGAACAGAUCAGGAAACCCCAAAAAGGAGCCGCCUUUCCCUCCCUCGGCUUCCGCCUCAACCGGCGCCGUGUGCAGAGGAGACGAAGACAAAGGCUGUCUCGGCGCCGCCGCCAUCCUGCAGCUCCUCACCACAGCGCCCAGGUCCCAGUCGUCAUCGGCCAUUCGCGUCCACGCCGACCACUGACCUCCGCAAACCGCCUACCUACCCCGACAGCAAAGCGAGACGGCGGCGUUGACCAAGGAGGCACAGAGAGGCUAGCCACGCUGACUUUUGGUUGAGGAAGAGGAGCCGAGAGUGCCGAGGAAACAUGGGAACGUAUAUAUAUAUAUAUAUAUAUAUAUAUAUACACACACAGAUAUAUAUAAAGGGUCGAGAUGUGGCAAAAGGAGAAGGUAGGCGUUUUGUUGGGAGACACAUCUCCCUUCAGGUCUGCACAAAACCAGAGUGGUUUUGAGAAACCGGCUUCACUUUUCCUGCACUUGACCUUCGAGCACAAGUCAAACGGGUGAGGAUAAAGCAGAAAGAGGUAGAGAGAGAGCGAGAGAAAAGAAGGCGGAUGGAAGAGAAUCCAAAGGCACUCAGUGAGUCAGGAUGGUGACAAGAAGAAGAAGUCGUGAGUAACAUAAAUGCGAUGACGCACAGAAGGGACGUUUUCUUUGAGGUAAACACGUUCAGCGCACGUGUUACCUUCCCGUGUUUUGGUGGCGUGCUAAUUCCAUAUUAUUUUUGUAAUUUCAGACUCGGCUAGUCGUGAUUGGAGGAGAUAUUGGGGCCCACGGUUAGCUCCAAUUGCAAGCGUCCUCGCUGUCCCCUAUACAUCGAUAUUAUUGUACUAUUAUACAUAUACAUAUGAUUAUUGGAAGAGAAAAUUAAUGAUUUACAAUUCCAUUCUUGAGUUUCCCACAUUUAAAGUAAAUUCAAACAAUUUAAAGGAACGUAUUUAGAUUUGGAAGUAAAUACACAAUAGAUUUAAAAGUAAUCCACAUCUCACCAAUCAUAAAGAAGAUAUUGGUUUCUCUGAUUAGGAUAAAAAACCUGCAGCAAGGAAAUUAAACUUCCAAUAAAAGCCCAAAAUGCUUCACUCUUCCAUCAAUUCACAACCACAACCGAUCCUUUUCCUUCCCAAUGCGAAGGUCAAUACUCGUUCGUCCAUCAAAAGUUCACACCACUUUCUGUGGGAGAUGCGGCAUUCCAAUGACCAGAGAAAGAAGGAUAUGCCCUGCACACCAGCAAUAGUAUCUAUCAAUGAGAAAGCAUCCAACAGUGUCUCCAUAACUUUGAUGAGCCUUUUGUGCUCACAAAAUCAGUGGCAAUGUAGAACCAGAGCCUCUCCGAAUCUAAUUAUUAUUUGUUGUCCAUCAAUUCCUGCCAAUAGUUCUACCCAAAAGAGAAUUCCAGCUGGUGUAAUCAAAUGAUGCAAAAAAAAAAAAGAGUUGUUCCAUUAUUUUGCAUUACAGGUAAGAGCAUUUGAGUAGUGCAAACAACUGUUGCCAACAUUUGGCUCCAAUUAUUACAACAUAGAAGGAGGUUCUUCUGCAGAAAUGGAUUCUGGGAUGGCACAGGACACACUUCAGUACGGGCUACUCAACUAUCCUGUAGAUGAUUUUGGUGUUGAUUCCAUCAGGCACUGGUUCUAACAUCAAACCUCCAGUGUGAUCUUCCAGGGACUGUACAUCGCAACGGAUAUUGCCAAGCUACAACACAGUAAACCAAUGGAAACGAUCGGUGCCAAUCCAAAAUUGACUGAGAAUUGGCAACAACACAGUAAACUAAUGGAAAAGGUGCCAAUCCAAAAUUGACUGAGAACAAUCGAUAUCCACCGCAUGUGUGCUCAUGGUUAGCUCCCACCUGUUAGGACACAUCCAGAUAUCUAGGAGUUGAGUUGGAUCAGUAAUCAAUUCCAGCUGGCCCCUACUUCUGCAAGAUCUAUUGCUUAGCCUCCUGAAUGAAGCCCUUUUCUGAGUAUACUCAUAAAGCAUGAAACAAAAAUGGAUAAUGAUCACCAUAGUUUGUUCGUGGUUUCUGCAUCACGAAGAACUCAGCCUUGUGACGCCAGAGUAAUCACCCACGUUUGCUAUGAAAAGGGGAUCCAUGUCUUCGAUCAGUUUGGACCUGUGACUUGCUUGCUCUAACUCCUUUGUCAAGUCUUCCAUUGUUUUCUUCAAGUUUGCUUUGUUCAUCUGGCCGUCGCCCAUUGAGAUGCCAACCAUUGUGAUCUUUGGAAGAAGGGGAUUCAGCAAUAAUUCAUUCAUAGCACCACUUUCAGACCUAGGCACACGGUCAAGCUAAUAAUGAAAUGCACAAACUAAGACAAAAUUAAGAAUCAAAAGCAAGAACAAUGCAAAACCUGGCAUUUGACUUCAUCUGGUUGUCGAAAUUUUGCUGUUUUUGUUGUUGUCUUGACCAGGGAUUUUGAAACAAGUUUGAAAAUGGAAAUUGAAAACCAGUUUGACGUGAUGACUGAGCCUGGCAUCCUUGUAGGUUAUCGUCUGAACCGCGCCUUGAAGCAUCAAAUUGCACAUCAGGUUGCUCGCUAUCAGAGCCUUCUGUAUUAGGAGCUGUGGUGGCCAAUAAAGAAGACCUCAGCGAUGAAGUGGCACUCCUGAAAAGAGCACCAAGGAGAUGAUAAUAACCACAUACCAUAAUGAAGCCAAACCAAAAACUAUAUUAACAUGCAGUCGGGACAGUGUCAUGACCAGGAUAAAAUAAAUGAUAAUAGAUCAAUAAUCAAACAAGGCUUUCUUGCAUGCAACAUGAUGGAAUCAGAUGGAGCAUCUCAGAGUCAUUGUAGAGGUAUAGGAUUUAUAUUUGACAUGUAGCAGCAGGAAAGGCAACAAGAGAGGGUUUUUUUCAUAGAUCUAAUACAAGACUUUACAAUCCUAAAGUGCAUCUUCUCCAAGCACCCUAGCAAAUUACAAACAAGAUCCUAAAAUAUCAAUUGUUGUCAUAAUACCUAAGCAAGACAUUGAAUUAAUCUAGCUCUGCAGCUCCAGCUAGAUGUCCCUUUUAACCCUAAAAAGUCAAUUGCCAUCAUGAUACCUAAGCAAAGCAUCUCCAGCAAGAUUCCUCACUUAACUCUGUUGUAUGUCAACGUAACUAAGACCAUGAUGACCAACAGGCUUCCAUGCAAUACCACUUGCAAAAUCUUGAUCCAUGGUAGAUCAACAAGGAAUGAGAAUUAGAUUCAAAAGUAAAUUAUGAAAGAAUGUUUAGUUGGUUAUUGCUUCUUUACAAUAGAUUAGUCCAGUAUAAAUCAUGAGUAUAUAAUAUAUUCUAAUAAAAAUCACCAAAUAUCAACCCCUCGCUUUACCCUUACAUUUCAGAAGCAAGCAUUUAUGACUGACCUCUUACAUUCGAAUAGGCUGUAAAGAGCGCUAGAACUUGGAACAAUCUCUUGUCCUUCAAGAGACAAAUAUGUGAACCAAUAUGCUAGUUACCCAAGAACAUGAGAAAUAUUUCAACUAUAGCAAUUGAGGAACGGCAUCAGUUAAUAUGUAACCAACUAAUUUGCAAGCUGAACUUAUAGAGCCUAUUAGAAAGCAACUUACAUACCGUUCUUCAAAUGAGUCAACCAGAUAAGGGAACUUGGGUUGAAUACCAGUGGCUCUUCUCAACCACUUGUUCCCGAGAAGUACUUUGUCAACAACAUCAAGGAGCUGAAUCUCUGCAGCCUUUGAUAUGACGCUAAGUGGUAUUCCAUAUUGUCCCAUUUCAUCCAUCAUUUCUUGAACCUGUACUUCAGAAACAGCAAGGUUGAUGUUGGUAUGCUGUAUGUUCAAUUAUAUAUUGCAAGCAUAGUCAAAGAAGGAUAAAGAAUAUUUCCAAGUAAAGAUCAGAUAUGAUGUGUCGAAGCAGAAGAACCUCUGGAGGCUCAAACAAGCUGUCACUGUAUUCCUCAACUACAUCUGCUGUUAAAUUAUCAUCGAUAACAUCCCGCCGUCGUUGUAUGUGUCGGUUUUGCAUCAAGGUGUGAAAGUGUUGAUCGAUUGAUGUAUCGAGAAUAUUGUCCAGCAAUCUUUUAUCAAAAAAGUAUGGUGUAUACCUGAAAAUUAUGAGUAUACAGAGGAUCAUUGGAUGUCAGAUUUGUCUCAGCACAGAUAUCAACAUGAAGAAAAAGUAAAAUGAUUUCCCAAUUAACGGAAACAUUGAGAAGAAAAAAAAUGUUGUACAAGGCACUUGGACCAGAACAUAGUGACUCAAGGUGUUCACAGUGAUUACAGAUACCCACUGUCAUGGUGGCCACCAUGGAUCCCAGGUAGCAUUUGAAAUAAAUCAACAUUCUCUUUUUUAAUUGAAAAAAUGAAGAUUAUACCGAAGCAGGCAUACAAUCUAAUUACAAAUUGACCGGCAAAAAUAAGAGAAAUAGAAGGUUCUGUUGAGAUAAAACAAUCAUUAUUGUUCCAAAAUACCAUGAUGGUGAUAUUAGAUGAACUGUAUAUACUUCUUAGUUCUUACCACUUUAGUCCAUCACUUGUUGCUAUAGCAAUAUUCAAAUUCUGGGCUGUAAAGACAGGAACACCAUCAACCCUUCUUUUCCCAUGUUUCAUAGGGAUUUGCUUAAGAAGCUUAUUGGCUGCCUUUACCUGUAUAAACAGCAAAUAUGUCAUUGAAAUGUGUAAUCAUAAUAGUAAAGAAUAUAAGAAGAUAUUUUCAGUUUACCUGUUUUUUAUUUGGAACAAAUUGGAACAUAUGGGGCUUUUCCUGCAAAAAAAAGAGUAGCAGAAUUUUAAAUGCAAAUAAAAGCAAGGUUUUUCAAAAUAACAUCUCAGAUGGUAUAAGACAGAAAAUAACUCCAGAUAUACCAAGAAAUGAAGAUAUGCCCAAAUAGCUGGAAAUAUAGGCACAGUGUGGUUGAUACAUACAACCAAAUGCUAAUUUACAUUAAAGUUAGUUCGAAACUUAAAAGUAGUUAUUUGUGAUUGAACCUCUCAAAAAAAUUUAUAUACCUUCUUACAAGUUAACAUGAGACUAAAGAAUCUCAUAACUGAGUUGAGAUUAAGAUCUGUUGAUGGAUUGUCAUCAUUCUAUCACCUCAAAAUCAAUCAACAGGGCUCCAAUUGGACGGUAAACUCCAUUGAAUAUGGUUUACAUCUAAAAAACCCUAAAACUGAAUAUUCAUGUUUUUUAAAAUAUUCUAGCAUAUGCAUAGAGAGAAAUAAAAAACAGGUAGUUUUAACUUUUAACAACACUAAAAUAUCUAAUUUAAUCAAUGGAAUCAGAUUAAAUAAGUUAAACUUUUAUAUGCAUUGAUCUAACAGUACUUAGAUCAUGAUCAAUUGUUUGUACCAUUAUUUUAAAUAACCUAGAUCAUACAACCAUGCAUCAAUACUUUCUUUAGAUUGUUCAUUUUUUGUUAUUUUAAUGGCCAUAAAACAUAUAACAAAAUAUUUUAACAUAUGCAUCAAAUGGAACUUUUUCUAAAUUUGACUAAAAAUAAAAUACCAAAAUAAGUUAAGAAUUCUAUGAUGGAUUCAUCAUUCAUCCAACAAUAUUUAAAUCAUGAUAAAUUGCUUGGAUCUUCAGUUGAAAUACUCUACAUCAUAUUUUGAUGCAUCAAUACUUCUUAGACUGUUCGAUUUUUGUUAAUUCAAUAAACAUCCAAAAUAUUUUUAAAUCAUAGAAAUUUUGCUUUACAAAUAUUUUGUGUGUUAUAGAUCAUGUUCAACAUAUGUAAUCUUCAAGUUGGAGCAUCCAUGUCUGAUUUUGAGAUGUUAAGAUGGAGGCCUCAACCCUCUCGAUGGGAUUUCAAUUCAACUCCUCAAAAGUAGUUGCUGUGAAACUACAUCAAACAAACCUAAAUUUGGACAAAAUACAUGCAUAGCAAAGGGUAAAAAUUGGAUCAGAUAAUAUCUAAUCAUAACCAGAUUCAAAUCCAAAUAAAGGCAGAUUAUUGUUCAGACAUUCCAUAUUGGAUUUGAUUGAAUUCAUAGGUUUUUCCCAGGUACUCAGACAGACAGAUUCAAAUGAUGGUUAAAAUUCAAAUCUGAUUAAAAAAAUCCAGAUAAAUUCAAAUUUGGAUAUUAGUAAAAGAACAUUGACUGCCAAAGAAAAACAAAAAGUGACCCAUUAUUUAAUUUACACCAGUUUAGACUGCAUACCAUCAUUGGCUAGCUAGAAAAAGACAGAAAUCUAUGAGGUGGAGUGAAAAACUUAAAAAACUGGAACCAUAAGCCUUAGGCUGAUUUUGGUGUUGAUCUGAGCAUUUAGGGCUCCAUAUUGACCUAGAAAAGAUAAUUCCAAAAUAUCAAACCUAAAAUACUAAAAUACAGUCCAUUUUCCAAAUUUAUGCUUCUUUUUAUUAGACUACAAGUUCAAUUUUUUAAUAUCUGCUACAACUAAAAGGACUAGCUUGUCCUUAGCUAUGUAAUAGCACUUAUAAUAGUAUCAAUUUACCAACUCAGAACUAUCACUAGAGCAAUAACAAUAAUGCAUGCAACGAAUGGCAUGCAAAUAUCACAUGAUCUUUUGCGAUGAAAUUAUAAGUAGAAAAGUUCAAAAAAAUAAAAGAACACGUCGCAGUUCAACUUAACCAUACCUUGAAAUGUUCAUAUGCUACAUCAAGGCGGCAAGCACCCACCAUACCAGUUGGAAUAUUAAGGCGUUUAACAUAUGAAACUGGAAGAAAAGAAGAACCAAGGUCAGAUAAUGCUUCCUUGAAAUUAAACUAAAAAAAGUGUUUGUAGGAAAUGGGGUCUGAAAGAAACUUGCCAAAAAUUGUAAAAUUUACCUGCAUCACCUAAAUCCAUGAAAAAUCGAAAAACAGGGCCUUUCUGUUCGUUGUUUGAAACUGUUGCAAGUAUUUUCUUGAUCCACACUGGUGUCCUAUAUGAAAAAGUAUAGUCUUUAGACUCAAUACGAUGACUAGAAAACACAUUCAUACGAUAUGAUAUUUUUCCUUCAUGUUACUCAGCAAAAGCGGUUGUUCUGCGGAUGUCAUCACAGGAUAUCAGCAAGGAAGUAUGGAUGAUAGGAACAAAGAUGCUAAAUGCCAGAAAAUGAAACCACAAAGAUAUGCAACUCUAGAUAAUCUUUACAGCACACAUAAAAAUUAAAAUACCUAAGCCUAUUACCACACCAACCUAUGCCAAAUGAAAUAAACAAUCUCCUUACCUAAGUGUGACUUUAACAAGUUGCUUAAGUAGCAUGAUCAUAUAACAGGAUCUUCCAAUUGGAAUAAGAAGAGCAAAGAAAACCUAUUCACACUACUACACUUGAUCAAACAUCAGAAAAAAUUGUAGAGAACAACUUAGAAACAAUUAUAUAAUUUGUUAAUUAUACGAAAGCUAAAAUUUUAUCAGUCAUUCAAAAGAUGAAUCUGAGUGUUGCGACACUACAAGAGGGCAACUUGUAUAACCUCAAUAUACAAAAAUCUAUGCUACAGAUCCUGAAACCCAUGCUGUAUAACAGCUCUAUGAACACCCCAUUAUUGGAAACCUAAUGGGGAUCACACAGAUUGCUAAUGUUAAAGAAUAGGAAACACAGACCAUAAUGAAAUCUAGACUAUCAGGAUCUUGACAAUAUAUUCGCAGUUCCUGGUCAUCUGACGUCCUGUUAUACGAGUCACACUGACACAAAAUCAUACUAAUAAAACGAAAUUAGAUAGGUCUUGUUUCAUCUCAUCAAUAUCCCAUGAGAUUUGAACAAGUCUGAAAUUGAUAACCUUAUCCAAUUCAUAGAAAAAGGAAUGGUUCAACCUCUUUGAGAGGAAAGGGAUGUCGAAUCGGGUGGUGACAGUCAUGAGCCCAUUGCCGGAGGGAUCAAGCAUGCUGAAGACCUGCCCGACGAAAGCAGGGCCACCUCCGGCCUUGGAGCUCGAGACGAGCCCCUCUAUCCUCACCCCCGAGGUAAAGCUCUUGAUAGCCGACGACGGCGACGGCGACGCCGCGCCCUGGCUCAUGCCAGGGUGAGAGGAGGAACCGGCGGAGGAGGAGAGGGAUGAAGGGGGAAGGAGAAGGGGCAAGGUAACGGAGGCAGAUCCGCCCGGUGGAGUGGCCAUGGGAGAUUUGGUAGUGGGGGUGGUGCGGCUAGGGUUGAAGGGAGAGAAGGGGAGGUGGGAGAGGAUGUUGGUGGUGAGAGACUGCAUGGAGCGGCCGGCGGAGCACAAGAAGGGGAGUCCGUCGCCGCGGCGUGGUCUCUCCGAGGCGGAGGAUGGGGCCAUCACUGCCGUCAACAGCGGCGAGAGAGGCGGCGAUGAGCUCGUGCCGUCGUCGCGUGGCACAGCGGGGGGAGGGGAGGGAAGGGGCGGUGCGUGGAUGAGAUUCUUUGACGCGACCUCAAGUCCUACUCUACUCGGAUUAAUUGGGCUAUGGUCUUUGUAAUAGUGGGCGUUAUGGGCGGUUUGAUGUCCUCUUUUAGAGUCCACAUUGAUGAAUACAUUGUGAGCCUUAUGGGCCGUAUGAUGAGCUCCUUUGGAAGUACAUGGAGUCCGCACGUUGUUUGAACGGCUACGAUGUGGCGCUUGAUGCGUUGAGAUCCGUGAGUCGAGGUCACCAUUCCCUGGUUCUAUGUGAUUCCUAAACCCUCCUCGUCACCGCUCGAGUUGGUGUCCCUCCCAUGGACGCGGACGCGGACGCGGACGCGGACGCAUCCCCAUCGCGGCCCUAAGGAGGAGGAAAGGAUACCUCCUCGGUUCUUCCUACGCAUGGCGGUCGCCUUCGUCCGAACCAUCUCGAGAAGAAGCCGCAGAUCUAUUCUUUCUCUCAGUUUCCACCUCUCGAAUCCUCGACCUUUUCCCCCCGCUUCUCCCAUCGCGCUGACCCCGAAGAACUAUUCAGGACCUGCCUUUGCCCCCUUCUGCGGAUUCCUCCAACCUCCGGCGCCGUGUCUUCGCUGCCCGCACCGUGGUCUAUGUGGAAUACCGCGCUCUAACGAUGACCUCAAAGUCGCUCCCUUGGCGCCCCCGGGUGACCCGCCGAAGAAAAAGGGCAAGAGCGCGAAGAAGAAAUCCCGGGUGGAUUUCACCAAGGUCGAUCCGACGCUGCUCCCAACUGUGAUCCUCGUCGGCCGGCCCAACGUCGGCAAGUCCGCCCUCUUCAACCGGUGAGCGGGAUCUUUGUCAUGGAUUCGGGUUCAUAUGGUGACCUGGGGUUUUUUGAAUUGGUUUUGCUCUGCUUCGUCGCUCUUGUAGCUUGAUUCGGAGGAGGGAGGCCCUUGUUUACAACACUCCCGAUGAUCAUGUCACCCGAGACAUAAGAGAGGGCAUAGCCAAGUUGGGGGAUUUGAGAUUCCGUGUGUUGGAUUCGGCUGGGUUGGAGACGGCAGCGACUUCAGGUAGUAUUCUUCAUAGGACGACUGAGAUGACUGGGAACGUACUCGCGAGGACAAAAUUCGCAAUCUUUUUGAUAGAUGUGAGGUUAGUGUCUUGAAUUUGUUUUGAUUCCUCAGUUCUGUCUAUCUCCAGUAGCUCUUAGCGGACGAAUUUACUUAGUGGAACUGUUGCUUUUCAGGGAUGGAUUGCAGCCGCUUGAUAUGGAAGUAGGAAAGUGGUUGCGGAAGCAUGGGCAUGGUAUUCAUACCAUUGUGGCCAUGAAUAAAUCCGAGUCACUUGAUGAACAAGGAUUGCUUACUGCAGAGGCCGGUCAAGCAUACACUUUAGGCUUCGGUGAUCCAAUUGCCAUAUCUGCGGAGACAGGUUUCGGGAUGGCUGAGCUAUAUGAAACUCUCUGUCCAUUGUUGGAGGAUUAUAUGCUUCAACUUCCCAGCGGUGUGUUGAUUCUGAUUUAGCUUUUGGUGUCAACAAAUAUAUUUUGUUUCCUUGGUGCAUGUACAAAUGCUCAAAUUGCCCAUUAGUGUUCUUUGUUAGUUUGCAAGCUUAAGCUUUACAUGAUUAUUCCUCGGAUCUGCCAGUAGUUAUAAAAGAAUACAAAAAACAAGGACACAUCAUCUGUACUUUAUUCACAUUCCUUUAGUAAUAUGAAUUUAUUCAUCUCUAGCUAAUUGUGCUAAUAUGUGAUAAUAUUAUGUUGAACUAUGAUAAUUUAGAUGUUUAAACGUUAUCAUGCCAUUAUAUUUAGGUUGGUUGCAAAAUUUGAAUUGCUAAUAUUUAGUAGUCAUAGCUUUGGAUGAAAAACUAUCGGUGACAAAUAUAACUUGUUUGAAAUCUUUCAAAGAUCCUCCAUGGAUUGUGUUUUGUGGGAAAUGGAGAAAAUUUGUUGUUUAUUAGUGCAGCUUGACAAUUCUUUCACAUAUCACCUAGCAGAUUCCAGAUUAGCAGUAGGAUAAUCAUAUGAAGUUGCAAUAGGACAAAAAAGGCAACUUUUUUGCAUGUCUUUCACCAGCACCUUGGAAUCAGAUACAGCUAACGUGUUUUACAUAAUUGAGACCUUUAAAGGUUGUCUAUGCUCUAUGUUGCUUUUUCAAUUAAUGGAUAAUAACAAGCAAAUAAAGUUGAGACUUUGAAGUUCAUCUAUACUCUAUUUUGUUUACCUAAUUGAUGGUCAUUAUCAAGUGAAUCUGUGCAUGACAAGACUGCAUGAGAUAUAUCAGACAUUUUGCAGAUGGAUCUAUAAAUUUGGCAAGUCAUAGCCUCAUAAGUUACUGUUUUAUGCUAUACUCUCUUAGAAAAUUUCAGUUAAGGCAAACUUUAAAAAGGAGUAACUGUUGCUUUGUGGUAGCAUGAGCUUAAAAUGUGACUAACAAGCAUUUGUGCUUGUAGGCUAGCAGUUUAGGAAUUUAUUCAAAUCCAUCUCUUUUCUAAAGUUGCCAUGGUUUGGCAUUUGCCAACUACUUCAGAGGAUUGACAACAGUUUGUGCACAAUUAUAUAGUUAUAGUUUUUUUCCCUACUUUCUUUAAAGUCUUCUUUUCUUGAGUUGUGCAUCAGCUAAAAACCUUGUAAAAAUAAAUGCUUGGCUGGUGUUAUGAGCUCUAACAUCCAAAAUUUUCAGCAGCAACAGUUUAAAUUGAGAAAAAAUUAGUGAUAUAUGUUGAAUUCUCUUGUCGAAGAUAAAUUGAGAAGGUGUGAAGCUAGGUGAUUCAUAUGCAUCAGCUAACAUUUCCCUUAUUUAUGGUCCUUUAUGUUCCCAUUGUUUAAUUAUGUUUCUGUAUUUUUAAUAAUUUAUGUCGUCAAUAAUUCAUGAAGAAAAGAUGCAAUUUUCUAUUUGAAUUUAUAUACUAAGGUGCCACUUCAGGUGCAUAAAUUUGAACUCAUACCUUUCACUGAGAUUCAUGUUGUUUGGAGUAAACCCAGAUUCUAUAUAUUUGUCUCCUUUUUGAUGCAGUUAACAUUCGUCUAUUUAGUUUGACUUUUCAGGGCUCUUAUGAUGGGCAUGUUGUGUUUACCUUUUGUUAAUCCAGGCUUGUUUUGUAUAAGAAUUAUUGGUUGUAUUGUUUAGGCAAAACCUGCAGUAAUUUUGGUUUUAGUUUACUAUUUGGAUGUGAUUAAUGCUUUGAUUCAAAUCCUCUUUUUGAUGGCUUGGGUUUCCACAAUUGUCAGCUCCACUAAUAAGUUGUGGCUUCAGAUAAUCAUGCCCGAGAUGUUAUUUCAUCAGACGCAGAGGAGAACGGGGACUGCAAGUCACCUUUGCAACUUGCAAUUGUUGGACGGCCCAAUGUUGGAAAGUCUACCCUGCUAAAUGCAUUGUUACAAGAAGAGAGAGUUUUGGUUGGACCAGAGGCUGGUUUGACAAGGGAUUCAAUCAGAGCUCAUUUCAGAUUUGAAGAGCGAACUGUAUUUUUGGUAAAUUAACAGGUUUCCUAUUUACUUCUGCAGCAUCUUCGUUCUAACAGUUUAUUUCCUGUUGUAGUUCGCUUUUUGACCAUUUCUCGCGACAAGUCAUUUUGUGAUUUGUUUGUUUAGUUGAAAAUCCAAAAUUGGAUAUUUGAUUCUAAUUAUAAUAAGUGGUUAUCAACAUAAUUGUUGCCUAACUUUGCUUUGAUAAUACAAUAUCCUAUGAAUGCCAUUUCAUUGAUUAUGGAAAGUUUUAUAGGGCAUGCACAAUGUCAUCUGUGCUUUAAGGGUUGCAUGUUAGAAAACAAUAAAUCGAGUAGUUGCAUAACUGAGUUGAGAAAUGUCUAUGUUUUGAGACAAAUGCCUAUGCCACUAUAAAAGAUGGAAAAUGCAAAUAAUUCUAUGUUUGAUGACUUUGAUAUAGUGCAAAUCAAAGAUAAAACAAGUGAAAAGUCAUUUAAGGUCGUUUGAGAGUGUCCAAAAAGGACCUUUAAAUGCACCCGCAAUAUGAGGUGGAUGCAUAUAGAUUAUGUGUCGGAGGAGGUAGAAGAAGACAUGAAACACUGGCUAAAUAGAACAAACAAUAAAAUGGGACAUCCUAUCACAUGGAUUAUCCAAUGAAAUGACAUUAACUAGAGCUGAAUGGCAUGAAAGAAUCCAUAUUGUCAUCCACAAAUUAUUGUGAAUAUGGCAUCAUUGUUGAUGAUGGUGUUUCUCCAUUUUGAUUCUUAACCACAGAUAAGAAAGACAGUUAUAGGUAUAUUCGUAAGGUAUUGUACACCCCCUGCUUGUUUUGGAACUGCAAUAUUGCAUUUAUAUUAUUAUGGCCAUGUGCGUCUUAUUACCAUUCAUCAUUAUUGAUUCAUAUCAUCAUUCGGGAUUAAUCCAUGUAUGUGGCACAUGCUUUAUAGGCUACAUAACCAUUAUGGUUUGUUUUUCAGGUUGACACUGCUGGUUGGUUACAGAGAUCAGGGAAAGAAAAGGGACCUGCCUCCUUGAGUGUUAUGCAAACAAGAAAAAAUCUUAUGAGGGCUCAUGUAAUAGCUGUAGUACUAGAUGCAGAGGAGGUAUGCCACAUUUAAGGUUUACAACUUCAGAUGCCUAGAGAUCUAUAAUUUACUAAUGUGCUGGAGUUGUACAGUGAGUGAGUCUUCUACCUGUAACUUCUAGAUCGUUAUCUGUAUCAGUUGAAAGUUAUUUUCUGUAAUAUCCUGAUAAUGCAAUAUAAAAAAAAUUAUUAUUGAAGAAAAAACCUGAAGUUUAAUUUUUUCGUUGUGCGGAUAAGCUAGUGUUUCAUUUAUCUGGGUGGAAAAAUGUCUGUAGUCAUGCUGAUAUUUUGAAAUUUUAGUUCUUCAUUGGAAGAUAAAAGCUGCCAUCUCUCUGAAUUAGAUAAUGUCUGUAAUGGCAAUACCAAGGAACAUUCAUUUUGGACCAACUCUGCUCAGCUGUAGUCAUAUAUAUGGAAAAGAGGUAAAGAAAAUAUGCCAAAAUAAGACUUGUUAGCAGAUGCUGGAGUCAUAUGUAGUAGGUAAGUUGAGAAUUUGUGACCAAGAAACCCAAUUGCAAUUCCUGUAGGUUUGAAAAUGUGUGGUCUCAAAAAAAGAAAAAUUAAAGUAGUCCAUGACUUUUUUAGAUACCUAAUAUAUUUGCUUCAGGUUCAUAAUCUAAACUCAUCUGGUAAUUUCUGUAAAUAGUUUAUCUGGUAACUUGUUUUUUACUUUUUUAUCUGUUAAUAUGCAGAUUGCAAAAGCUAAGACCAGCAUGAAACAUUCUGAAGUUGUUAUUGCUCGCCAAGCAGUAGAAGAAGGCCGUGCUCUGGUUGUGAUUGUUAACAAGAUGGACUUGCUUAGGGGGAAACACAACUCAAUAUUGCGUGAGAAAGUCAUAAAGGCUGUUCCACAAGAAAUCCAGACAGUCCUACCACAGGUUUGCCUAUCAUAUGUUUCAAUUAUGUAUGGAGGUGACUAUAAGAGAUGGCAGUUUAUUUGCCUCAGUUCUGAUUCUUGCAGUUGGAACAGUGCAGCUAGCUUACUUCUAGCUUUAUUUAUCUUAAACCAUAUGUAUCUCAACUUUUUACCUUAACCUGGUUCCUAAUGCCUUCGGCUUUUUUGUUUGUAUACCUAUUUCUGUUAUGUUAAGAAACACCGUAAAGAAAAAGAAUGCUUAGGCAACCUAUGUAACCCGUAAUUCUUCUUUGUUAUGUCACAGGUUACGGGAAUACCAGUGGUAUUUGUUUCAGCACUGGAGGGAAGGGGAAGGGUGGCUAUCAUGCGUCAGGUAGUGGACACAUAUCAAAAGUGGUGUUUAAGAUUACCCACAGCACGCCUUAAUCGCUGGUUGCGUAAGGUAAACAGUGUCACCUCCUGUAUGAUAUAGUUGUAGAACUAAGAUCUCCAUCGUCUGGUUUUUGAAAUACUCUUGGUUGGUAUUUCACUAUUAUAACUGUAACCGUAUUCAGUAAUCACCUUGAAAUUUGUUCUGCAAGUCUCCAUGUUAAUCCCCAAGCACAUUUAUUUUCCGAUCAUGCACAUUAAAAAAUUAUUUACUGGAAAUUAAGAAGGAAAGAUGUUAAUUUCUAGUUUUAUUUUUGUGUUUCUGGUCUAAGAUGUGUUAUUUACAUGUAUAGGUGAUGAGUCGGCACUCCUGGAAAGAUCAAGCAACCCAACCUAAGAUCAAGUACUUCACUCAGGUCAAGGCUCGCCCACCAACAUUUGUUGCAUUUUUGAGUGGGAAAACACACCUCGCAGACACAGAUAUUAGAUUUUUGACCAAGUCUCUGAAGGAGGAUUUUGAUCUUGGUGGGAUCCCAAUACGCAUCACACAACAUUCCGUCCCCAGAAAAGCAGAACUCAGCAAGAAGAGCAAGAAGCCAUCCACAAGGAUGAAUGCGAGAAUUUUAUCAGAAAAAAGAGUUGCUUCGACAGAACUUGUUUCUUCUUGAUGGGCUUUCUUCAAAGUCAACCAAAUGGAACCGGUCUGCCACUCAUGGACAACGUGUGAUUCUUAGCAAGAGAGAUAAUAUCAGUGCUUUGUCUAGCAUUUUUGUGAUCAAAAGAAUCCAUAGAUGACCGACCAUCUGGUGUUGCGUUGCCUAGGCUUCCUUCCAGGAUCUUCAAGCUCUAAGAAAGGGCUGGAUGCUUUUGAAGUCCAAGACGAACCGAUUCUUAAUGUCACAACAAGGUAUAUGGACCGACUUCCAAGUGUUUCUAAGAAUUCAGGUAAACCUGAAUCAUAAGUAUUUAGGUAAUACCAUCAUUCUUAGACUGGUGGUGCAUAGGCACUUGCAUUCUGUGGAGCCUUCUUUGGAUGUUAUUCUAUGCACACAGAUGAAAGUAGUAUCCUUUCUGAUAUCGGAAAGGAUGCCCAAAAUUUUACUGUCUUGCUGUUUAUGGAGAUUUUAAUCUAUAUAGCUGAUGUUGCAAAGAUUCAGUUUGGUUUAUAUGGAUGUCUGUAAUCUUUGAGUUUUUAUAAUAUCCUUUCCGAUGUCAGAAAGGAUGCCCAAGAUUUUACUGUUUUGCUGUUUAUGGAGAUUUAAAUCUAUAUGAAUGAUGUUGAAAAGAUUCAGUUUGGUUUAUACUGAUGGCUAUAAGUUUUGUGAGUUUUUAUUAAUGAAAUACAAAGUAUCUUCGCAAAAGUGUUUUUGAACACUUAACAGAAAAGAGAAAAAUAUGCCAAAAAAACAGAAAUGAAGGAUGCUCUGUGAGAAAAAAAAACAAAAAUAAGAGAAUUCUUUAAGGAAAUUCUCUGCUAUACUGCUGCUAAUUGGUUAUUUAUUUUACAUUUACCCCCCUCUCUCUCUNNNNNNNNNNNNNNNNNNNNCUCUCUCUCUCUCUCUCUCUCUCUCUCUCUCUCUCUCUAUAUAUAUAUAUAUAUAUAUAUAUAUAUAUAUAUAUAUAUAUAUAUAUAUAUAUUCAGUAUAUACAUUUAAAUGGUGGUAAAGGAAAUUUAAGAUGUUCAUAAUUUUAAUUUCAAUGUAUAAAUUAGCUACUGGUGAUCAUGGAUAAUAAAGAUUAAACUAAGUUUUGUAUGGAUAUUAACAGGAGAAGUUGAUGUAUGUAUCUGUUUACUAAGAUUUUGAGGACAAAUGUGAGGUUUUCAAGUUCCGUAAGGGUAAAUAUGUAAAAUAAUAUUAGUUCAAUUUCUUCCCAUUUGGAGAGCUUGAAAUGGGCUUAUAAUACAUCCGAACCACUAAUGCAUCACGCACCGUUGGAUCCGUUGUCGAACCGCGAUCGCGACCAGCAAAACUUGGAUUCUUCGACUCGCCAACACCGCCGCCCCCCAACUCCGUUGUCUCGCUUCGUCUUGUAUUAGGGUUAGGGCUUCCUUCUCUCUCUCGGUCGGUCGGUCGCUCGCUCGCUCGCGUUCGCAUUCGUCUUCUUGGCGAUCGAUCGGAGAGGAAUAGCAGCGGCGAGCGGCGAUGGGGACGCCGGAGACCUCGCGGGAGCCGUGCCCGGAUCGCAUCCUGGACGACGUUGGCGGGGCCUUCGGCAUGGGCGCCGUGGGUGGAUCCGCCUUCCACUUCAUCAAGGGCCUCUACAACUCUCCCAACGGGGAGCGUCUGGCGGGCGGAGUGCAGGCCGUCCGCAUGAACGCUCCCCGUGUCGGCGGCAGCUUCGCCGUCUGGGGCGGUCUCUUCUCUGCCUUCGAUUGCUCCAUGGUCUACCUCCGCCAGAAGGAGGACCCCUGGAACUCCAUCGUCGCCGGCGCCGCCACUGGCGGCUUCCUCCAGAUGCGCCAGGGCGCUGGCCCCGCCGCCCGUUCCGCUCUCUUUGGCGGCAUCCUUCUCGCUCUUAUAGAGGGUGCCGGCAUCAUGCUUAACCGCGUCCUCAGUGCCCCCCAGAACCUCCCACCGAUGGAAGAUCCCAUCCCGGCCGGGCUGCCGCCCAACAUUGCAGCGAUGACUGCGGCGGCCGGAACCUCGUCAGCCACGACUGGGGGGUUUUCACAGGUGGGGUAUCAACCAAAUGAGUCUGUCGGUGCCACCUCCUCGUCAUCUUCUUCCUCCUGGUUUGGAGGUUUCUUUGGAGGUGGGAAGAAGCAAGGUGAUGAUUUGCAGGGUGGUGGCAGCAAGACUGAGGCGUUGGAGAGUUUCGAUACGCCCAGUACACCAAUUCCAAGCUUUGAGUACAAGUAACCAAUGAUAAGGAAUUUUCUUUAGGUACGAGGUAUGUUUGGAAGCUUUGUGCAAAUAAUUUUGUCACUGUGCUUUUGGUUGCAGUUGGACUCAUUGCCUUUGACAAUUGAUACAAGAUAAUGUAAUCAUUUUGGAGCUUUCCAUCAAUGGUUUGCUAUGUCUCUACUUACCAUUGUUUAUCCAGUUGAUUUAUUUUCUGCUUCAUUUGCCCUCUGGAAGAAGUUUUUUUUAAUUUUUAAAGAUGGUUUAUACCUGUAAUUGAUAAUUGCCUUAGAUUUUUUUGGUUUUCUAGAUUCGUCAGAUCAUUGAUUGUUGGUAAAAUCUCAAUAUGGUUCUUGCAUUCCUGUGUACGAGUCCCUGUGUGUCCUAAAUAUCCAUCAAACAAGGGAAACAUUUAGAUUUUCAUAUAGCUAGUUGAAGAGAAUAGAAUAUUUAAUAUUCAAGUUAGUUCACAACUUCCCUAUUGCAUUGAUAUUAGCUGUUUUAUGCUAGUUUGUCAUUGUGCUGUGUAGGUUCGCCCAGAGUAUAAGUUAGUAGUUUGUCACUGUGUAGGUUCCCUAUUAGUGAUUGAAUGUUUAUGAAAUUAUGCACUAGCACAUGUGUCAGUUACUGUUAUCCUUCACAUUGGCGCUAAACUGGGGCUAAAAUUGUGUUUCUUGUUCGUUGCUUUCUCAGUUUUUAGGCUUUUAUAUUGGAAAACAGACAAAAAUGGUGCCAAAAGAAUGAAGGACAACAAUCCUGUCCUUUGUGUGAAUCUUGGCUAUUCUGGCCGCACCAAGGGGGAAUGAUCUGUUUAUGCUAUAUAAUUCGACAUGCUUAUGGAUUUUAUAGCCUAGGAAGCAAGCUUCUGUUAUUUAAUAAAAUUUCAGCUUAUGCGAUUAUGAAACCAAGGAUUUGAGCAUUCAUGGUGUAAUCCGUGGAUCAAUAUUGAUGUACAAAAUUCUAACCCAGUGAGUGUAGUGAAUACGCAAGGAAUUGAUAAACUUAAAAGAUCAAGUAAUGAAACAAAAAGAAAAACAAACUCUUCCACUUUGAUAAACUUUCUAUAUCAGUUAGUGUUGAAGGACAGUCUCCUUAUUCAAGUGAAGAUCAGUGAAGUACAGAACAAGAAAAAUAUGGAGUAGAAAAGGAAUUUUGUUUUAGAGAUUGUCACGUGCAUGAUAAAGCAUAUUUCUCAAAAUGCAUAGAACAAGGCUACAUGAAAAAAUGGUGUUUUAUGUAGAUGGUCACAAAGAUAAAUAUGAUUUUAUAACUUAAUGAGAAGUUCUAUAGACUUGCAUAUCUCAAUGAUUAUGAGAAGGCUAUCUGAUUUUCCUGAUCAAUUUAUUAUUUAUUCGUAGCUAUUAGGAUUCACUUUUAGAGUUUUAUGUCGUGAAUGACAACAUUAGUUUUAAAAUGACCAUGAGUGUGUUAUAGAAAAGAGGAACAUGAUGGUUUGAACUUUGAACAACAAUUACUCUUCAUCAACUUGAUGAGAUGGAGAUUAAUCUAUGACCUUUGGAUCUGUUUAUAUUCUAGUUCCAAAAAAAAUCCAGUAAUUUGCAUGAUAUAGUAGUUGAGUUAAGCAGAGUUCAUAAAGGCCCAGUUAGUUUUACUUAACAUGAGUCUAAAAUCUAAUUCCAAGGCAAGUCCUAGUUGGGUUCCUCUUGUUUUACUUUUGUGUCGGCUUUGAGUCUUUGGCUAAUUUCUUUGUCCCCUUUUGUAGUUCAGAUUUCAGUAUACUAACAAGUUAAUCAUGCUAGAGUAAAACUAGGGCUUUUGCAAUGUUAGCUUGUGUAAUCAUCUUCUAUUUUACAUCUUGAUCGUCACUUUCUUUAACCAAUUUAGGCUUUUUUAAUCAAGUUAUGCUUUUGUAAUGAUAAUAUAUAGGAGAAUAGGAUGUUUAUAUAUAGUUGCAGAUGAUUGGAUUGAAGAUAAACCAUAUGUUUGUUAUGAAGAAGUUGUAUUAAGGUUCGUGUAGGUCCUUGAAUAUUGACUGAUAAGAAAAUGGUGCAGCAGGAUUUUAAAUUUGUGGUAUCAAUUUUUUUUUGUAUACUUUAUCAGUUUGGUAGUCUCUUAUUUUCACUAUUCUUUUGUCUUUCUCCUCUUUUUUCUCCAGGCCUCUGUUUCUUGCUUCUACCUUAUCUUUAUCCUCUUCUCUAUUCUGUCUACUUCCUCUAUAGUUUGCGUAUAACCAAUUUUUUUGCUAGUUGCUAUUUCCUCUGCAAGAAGCCACUUUUUAGUUACUAUAAUGUUCUGUUUCUUGUUAUUCUUUUACUUGAACUCUGCACCAGAGUGUUCAAAAUCAGUACCAUUCUUGUUAUUGGUAGAUCUGAGUACCAUUCUUAAAAGAUCAAUCUCAAUGGUUCCAGAGUGUUCAAAAUCAGUCUACUUGCUCUGUUUGACUUGAAAUGAUUCAAAGUUUGAAUACUUGUGGCACCGUGCUCAAAAUAUUGUGCUAGGUAAAUCUCUUAGUUGGGGAUCACCUAGUCCUCUCCCCUUCCCCCUUUUCUUACUUAAACUGAAUUGGAUCAAGCUGGUAUGACCAUGACCAAUCUCAGUGGAAUACGCCAUCAGUAUCAGGUCAGGGAGGUGCGAUCAAUUAGCUUGCUGGAGAGGCCAAAUUCAAGCCAAACCAAGUUAAACUGAGAUGUGAAGAAUUGUGCAGCUAGCAGGGUGUUCUAGUAUCAUGGCUAAUAGUAAAGUAUAAAAGUGGUGUCAUCUUAUCCAGUCUGAUGCUACAUAAUUAACAUUCUAUAUCAAUUUUAAGUUUCAGCAAUAACAUGUUGAUAGGGACUUGAGGAUACCGUUCAAACUUGUUAUAAUGUAUUUUAGCUGCUAUCCUCAGUUAAUGUUUGACUGAAUUACAAUAUACACCACUUAAUUGUUUGCUAUAACUGAUUGUAAUAAUGAAUUAUGGCUGUUAUUGACCAAGUGAUCUUUGCAACUAACAAAAGAAUUAAUUUCAGAUCUGUCUAAAUCUUGUUCAUAAACUUGCAUUUUGUUUGACGCUGAUACGUGUAGUGAUCAUUGUCAUUAUGUAAUGUCCACUGUCUAGUAAUAAUAGGUCACUGUAGUAUACUAGUUAUCAUUUUCAAAUAUAAAAAUUUAAAAAGACUAUCUGAAAUGUUAGGUAGCCAUUACAACAACUGUAAUGCCUAUUAAUUAUUCAAGGAUUGGUGUACUUGAUUUUCAGCAAAAAAAUAUCAAAACACAAAACUCAGUGUAGCUGGUUGAUAUAAGAAACCAAACUAAUCCAGUUAAAAUUAAAGAAAUAAAUUCAGGAUCACCAUUUUUUAUUUUUAUAUUUUAGGUUCUUUGGUCUUCCCUUUCUUGUAACACUGCUAGCAGGCUUUUUUAUGGUUGUUGUCUUGUUUUUCAAAUGUUUUGUAUUUGUAGCUGUUUCAGACAUCAAAAUCACCUUAAACUAGUAUUUCUUGUUUUGUCAUUGAUUGGGUAGGUGGUGCUAUCCUUAAUUCCUCGGUUGGUACUGUCCCUAAUUUUUAACUAUUGAAAACAUUUAUUAGUUGAUUUCGUUUAACAACUUUUUAUCCAUCUAAGCAGUUUGAUCUCUAUAACACUAACUUCCACCGAAAGAGCACGGACUCACCUGAAUGUGUUAUAAAUUUGUUCUCUUAAUUUAAGGUGCACCUGAAACUUUUCACCAUAAGCAACCUGCUUUUAUUUACAAGCAAAUAUUGUUUUGAGAUCUCUCUCUCUCUCUCUCUCUUCUCCUCUCUCUUAGUAAGAGAUUUAAAAUGUCUAAAGCUUUUGAGUCCUUUUCUAUUUUUUUUUUUUUUGAAUUAUGCCUUAAACGCUCUUUUUUGUCUUACUAAAGAUGCAUCUUAUAAAACUCAUGGUUUUAUUGUGUUGAUAGCUCUAGUAUACAGUGCAAUUUAUGCUCUACUCUAAUCAAUUAAUACAAUCAAAUACAUAAACAAUAUUUGUCAUUGGUCCAUCCUAUACGAGCAGAACUAGUUAUAUACCAUACUUCUUUAGAACUUUAUCAUAUAACUUUCUUGGAGAAAGCAAAUCAAUCCUUCUUGUCUUCUUCUAUUUGUGUGUGUGUGUAUAUAUUAUUUGGCUUAACAAGUGAACCACUUGUAUAUAUGUCCAUGUCCAGUUUGCUAUUCAUCGAUUAGGAUGUGGAAGUACUAAUAUUAGAUUUGUAUCCCUCGGUAGUUUUUGGUUUUUGACAUGUUUAAGGUUCUUACAAGCUUCAUCCAAUAUUAUUUGACUUAACAAGUGAACCACUUGUAUAUAUGUCUAUGUUUCGUUUGCUAUUCAUGGAUUAAGAUAUGGAAGUGCUAAUAUUAGAUCUGUAUCCGUUGGUAGUUAUUGGUUUUUGACAAGUAUGUUGCUUUUAAGGUUCCUGCAAGUUUUAUCAACACUAGUAUUAUGUUAUGUUGCUGCUAGGGAAACACUGAUGGCACAACUGGAACAUCAAUUUCAUCUUUGUAUCUAAAGGCUUAAAUUUCCUACCUAAGAGUAUCAAGUUGAAGGGCUGAGGUAUGAAUUAGGAAAAUUAAUCCUGUGAUUGGUUGCUGGAUGAUCUGUCUUCACUUUUAAAAGUUUCCUGCACGAAGCAGGUGGAUCAGGGCCUGUUUGGUACAUGAAGACACCCAGGGAUGGAGUGGUUGUUUUUGUCAGCAGGUUGUAAGGUCUAAAAUUUGGGAUGUACAGAGGUGGUGGGAUCCCAGUAGAACCGAUAUGAUAGCUUUCAGGGAGGACCAAAACCAGAUCUUUGAUGGUGACAUAUGACGAGGGGUAUCUCACUGGAUGUGGAAUCUCAGAUUAUCCUCCCUAGUCUUUUCUUUUCAUGAUGCCUUUCUUAUCAAGGUCAUGGUGGUGAUUGUUCACUGCUGUACUUGAGGAGCUCCUGGUGUGACGAGGGAUCGACACAUCACUCUGCAGUACCAUGAUGCUAUCCAGCUGAGUUGAUACUCUCUACCCUUGAGCCUUCCUAUAUGAUUUCUACUGCAAAGUUAUUUGGUGUUCUGGCUGACAAAAGCAAAUCAUAGAAUUGCUUUUGUAGUGUCAAAUAUUAUGUCGACAGAAUGGAGGGGAUAUGAAGAAAUGGCUUUUGUGAUUUCAAAGAUCUUGAAACAGUAGUCCUCAACAUACAAGUUGGUGUAAGGGUCCUUGUAGGCCGUUUCUUUCUUCCUUAACCCUGGUCACCAUGGGGUAGGUAGGUACGUAGGUACCCCACUUGCGACGACAAUACUCCUAGAAUAUUAAUCUUUCUGUUCAUGAGAGACACUAGAUCUUACAGUUAUCAGGGUGUUUAAACUGAUAUGAUAAUAGAUUUGAAUCAACUUUUUUGAUUGGAGAUCUUGAAAGUACAUAUUAUAUUGAAGGAAAACGAAGAUUUGCUCCAUGGUUGUUUGAUAUUAUGGAUAACUUGUUAUGCAUAACAAUGAAAUAUGAGAUAUAGAUGAUAUUGAUAUUCCAUAACAAAUGAGGCUUAUCUUGUUAUUGAUAUUAACUCUGCUUAGGCUGACACUAGUGGUAAUCAUUCAGCCGUUCUCUCAAGUUAGAGAAGAUUGGGUGGGUGGUAGGUAAAUCAUGACCUGCUUUCGUCCUGAAUUUAUUCUUCAUUAAUUUCGUCUGAUAUAAUAGAUAAAAAUGAAUUUUGGUUGUUCGUCGAAGUGAGGUAGAAUAUUCUUUGUAUACGUCAGAUUAAAAAUGCAUUUGAAUGAAGAGGAGAUGGAUAGCAUUAAGCAUAUAUGUCUAGAUCACCUCCAUAAUCACCCAGCAUUAUCAAAAUCUUCUGCCUAGUGACAGUGCACUUGGAUUGGUAAUGCUCACUAGUAUCAUGUUUGGCAUUAAUCUACACUUGAAGCUAAAGGAUGCCGGAAUCAAUUCGUUGCUAUUGUGUCUCAGACAUCUUGACUCUUGCAGCAGCAGGAUAACUUUUAGUGCCUCUUUCUCUUCCUCAUUAGGAGUUCUCUAAUCGCCCACAAAUGUUCACUGACUCAUUCCCUUCACACCGAAGCUGUGCGUACCAAUCCAAACCAUCCCUUUUUGCAACAUUAUUCUUCGAGUGAAGCUGACUCCGAUGCUAAAAUCUCCCACCAACAUCAACUUUGCUCUCCUCUUUGUCUCUAAAAGUCAGCAGACUCCCAUCUACCUAACAACACUAGUCUUCAUACCGACCUGCCCAACUCUGAUAGGUUCUCUCCUGUCAUCCUAUUACCAGUGGAAUUGCUCUCUCUGUCUCUCAUGGUGGAAGUACAAAAUGUUUGUGAUGCCACACCUUUCCAGGAUCCUGCAUCAUGAAAUGUGCUACUACCGCAAAGCGGACGCACUCGUGAGAUGCAACCCCAUUGUCUAAUCACUACUCAAAGCGUAUGGGGUAUAUUCCUCACCUCCCUCUCUGUAAAAAGCUCACGGUGGAGUGGACGAAUUGAUGAUCUAUUGGGGGUUUUAAUCUUCGAGUUCCUAAAACCAAAGCGUAUUGGUUAGUGUUGGCUUUUUCAAUAUGGAAUUGGGUUACUGACUCUUCAUAAAACCUUAUUCAUCUCUUAACCUCUUCGGUUGCAAUGUUGAGCGGCGACUGAUAUCUUUGAGAUGGUACUUUGAUCUUGUGGGUGGUGUAAUGAUCCUAUCGGUAUAGCGGAAGUUCUUCGAUCCGACAAAGGCAGCGGAUUGCUAUCUUACUGGAAUGAUGGGAAUCGGGGAGUCUUUCUUUAGUAUCAUCAUUAUCAAACCUGGGAUCUCUUCCGGUUCCACAUGUUGGUGGAUUGAGCCACUCAUUUUUUCCUCUACUGCCAAGCUUUCGAUGAAUCGUUGGAUUUUCCAACACGAUGAUUCCGAAGCUGAUCUUGUCGGUCUAGAGGGUUUCCCAGAGACCCAGACGACAUCGAGCAUAUAGCAGUCGCAAUCAUUGAAAUGAUGAGCGAGCUUAUUUUACUUUUAAGGUUGGACGAGGAGGAGACUAGCGGAUUAGUUCCGCAAGGAGUGCCACACACACAGAGAGAGAGAGAGAGAGAGAGAGAGAGAGAGAGAGAGAGAGAGAGAGAGAGAGAGAGAGUCCUUGGCCAACCAGACGAUAGAACACAAAACUGCAGCACAGUGAGCUUUUGUGAGGUGGUGGGGCCACAGUUUGAUCCAGCAAGACUACUUAAAUCAGUACUGGACCUCAGCAUUUGAGAGCCAUUCCAUGGUAUAAGAAAUGGCGGCGCAAGCCUAUUUCUGUAUCUGUGAGCGUUCUACAUUUGGUAAAGACUAUGGACCUCUAGGGAUUUUGCUAAUCUGACAGUGUGGGAGAUGGAGAAUUUAAUGGUGAAGUAUGGAAUUUAAUAGUUGGGUAGAAUGAUGUCUUUGUUGCAUUAUGCCAAUUUUACUUUGAUUCUGCAAAGAUGAAGUGGGUUACAGGAACAGUAUGUUGCCUUUGCCUUACUGUUUGCUUGAUCUAGACACCUAUCAUGUAGAAUGACAUGCUGUCCCUCUUAUCUUCGUCUUCCUCCGGUCACCAUUCACCAGUGGUCCACCUGCAAGUCUCUUUUGAGCCUUGGAAGAAUGCAGCUCGUAGGAAUUCCUCCUUCACAGUAUCUGCUGGUAUAACUCAGAAUAGAGCUUCAGAAACCUGAAUCAGUCCGCAAAGAGAGAGAGAUCCAUCUCUUUGAUUCCUCAUCAGCUGAGGACAGAUCUCAACUGUCAUGCUGUGACAGCGGGAGAGAAAAGGGAUGCCUCGAGUGGAUUGUAAUGCUUGGUCUUUAGCACCGCAUGCAAGCCACUCCUCCGCACGGCAACGUAGGGUGGGGGAGCCUCACAGGGCCUUAGCUAGGUCUGAGCCUUAUUCCUUUGGACUUGUGCUUGUCUUGCGUUGGGUGACGAAGGUAACAAGGAUGGAGAAGACGAUCGUUGGGAAGAAGACACAUGCAUCCGGUUAGUUCAUUCAUCAUGGCGAGUACUUGAAUUGAAUCUGCUCGUGCUUGGGGUGACAGCUUUUUUUUGUGAUGGGUCGCUCAUCCUAGAUUUCAGUCUCUCAGCUUUGGAACUUUGUGGUUUCCCUGGCCACGUCUCUCUCUCUCUCUCUCAAAGCAGUCUCGUACGCUUCUUAACUGGGACUGCACUGCACACUGUUGGUUGAUGCAGAUAUUAUGUCAUAUCACACUGAUAAUAAGUCUUCUAAUUUUUCUUUCAUGGAAUCAGAUAAAUAGUGGGGAUGUGACUGCAUAACCAUACUAAUUUCCAAAGAUGAGGGGAGCAGCAUAAAUUUGUCGUAGCCUCAGGGCGCACAAGCCUUGCUGCAUGUGCUCUUCUAACCUGAGGACACCAUUUCCUCACAGAUCAUAUAAAGAUAUUAAGUCACUGAGGGCCAGAAGGAGAUCUUAGCCCUCGCGCUUCCACUGCAUCCCCCCCAAAAGCAAUAGUUCGCUCAUAUGCACUGCAUCUAUUAUUAUGCCCCAGUAAUAAUGGUUAUGCCAAGUUACCGAUGUGUCACGUCUACAUGUCCAAGUUUCCCCCAUGGCAAGCAUAAAUAGCCCGACUGCAACACUUACCGCACCACUACUCUCUCUCUCUCUCCUCCUCCUCCCUUUUGCUUCACUUGGGCUCGGCUCGCACCCUUCCGCUUCCUCCGCCGGAGCUCCACGAACGGAUAAGGCUGGAUACGAAGUCCCCCAUUUUUCUCUCACUCUAAUCUGUGUUUGGAUAAGAGCGAUAGAAUCCCUCUGAUCCAUUAACUACCAACAGCUCAGGAAGAAUAUCCCAUGCUCGCCAAAUCUCGUCUCUCUCCUCCUUCUUCAUUCACCUUCCCUUGCCUUCCCUUCUCCUCCUGGAGUCCGAAGCCAAGGUGCUCGCGGUAACCUCCAGGACUGCUAGAGACUGGUUAGUCCUCGUGCCGAAAGCUGAUCGGGAGUGGGCCUCUGUGGAUGACUGUCGGAUGGAGGCUGAAUGCAAGAGUGUCCACGAUCCGUUCUACUGUCAUCACCAACGAGGCAACUUCAGCCGCCAUUUCAUGUCGAUGAAGCCUGCGAUGAUCGGCGCCAAGGCAGAGCGGCGCGUGCUUUUCCCGGGGCCUAUCGUCGUCGGGGCUGGGCCGUCGGGGUUGGCGGUCGCCGCCUGCCUCAAGGACAAAGGCAUUCCCAGCUUGAUCUUCGAACGAUCCAACUGCAUCGCAUCGCUGUGGCAACUCCGGACGUACGACCGCCUCCGCCUCCACCUCCCGAAGCGGUUCUGCGAGCUCCCCCUGUUGCCGUUCCCCUCGUGGUUCCCGACGUACCCCACCAAGCAGCAGUUCGUCGCCUACCUCGAGGCCUACGUGCGGCAAUUCGACAUCCAGCCCGUGUUCAACGCCUCGGUGGUGGCCGCCGAGUACGACGCCGCCGCCGGCUUCUGGAGGGUGAGGACGGUGUCGUCGGGAGGAGGAAGCGAGAAGGAGAGGACCGAGUACGUGUGCCGGUGGGUGGUGGUGGCUACUGGCGAGAACGCCGAGGCCGUCGUGCCGGAGAUCGCCGGGUUGGAAGAGUUCAAGGGGCCCGUCGUGCACACAAGCUUGUACAGGAGGGGCGACGUGUACCGCAACAAGAGAGUGCUCGUCGUCGGCUGCGGCAACUCGGGGAUGGAGGUCUCCUUGGAUCUCUGCAACCACAAUGCGCACCCUUCCAUGGUCGUAAGAGACUCGGUGAGUCAUCCAUGGCUUUGCUCCUUAUCAUCGUUGUGUCAUCAAAACCCAAUUCACGUGCGUUUUCCACUUUCGAGGAAUCAUAUCACUACAGAAUCGAGUUCUUGGCAUGCCAAGACAGAUGGAUUCUCCAUCCGUUCAUCUCCUUUUUGAGCUUUUCUUUCAUUCUGGCUGCUACCAUAACCAAAGUAUCAUCAUCAACAAAUGCAUGAAUCCCGAUCGCCGCGACCAAACCAACCUCCUCGAUCUUUCAAUUCCAACGCUAAACAUCAGGCGAUCAUCAUAUGCAUAUCUGUUCCUAUUUCGGCCACGAUAAACCAUAUGAUGGCCAAAGAUUAUAGGAAACAGCUCAUCUACGCUCGCCUUCUGAUCGCUUUGUGGCGUUACUUUACGUCGUACAGGUGCACAUCCUGCCCCGGGAGAUGCUCGGCCGCUCCACGUUCGGGCUGUCCAUGUGGCUCCUCAAGUGGCUCUCCGUGAAGACGGUGGAUCGAUUCCUGCUGUUCGUCGCACGCCUCGUGCUCGGUGACACAUCAAAAUUUGGCCUCCGCCGGCCCCAGCUCGGCCCCCUCGAGUUGAAAUCCCACUCCGGCAAGACCCCGGUCCUCGACGUCGGCACCCUAGCAAAGAUCAAGUCUGGGGACAUUAAGGUUCGUCGAGUAGGACAUACUCCACCUCGCUCGAUCGACAAAGUGCUUCCAUGCCUCUUAUCAUUGCAUCUUAUUCCAUGGAAUUCAGGUGCGCCCUGCCGUAAGGCGGAUCAUGGAACAUGGAGCAGAAUUCGCCGAUGGCACGGUGGAAGAAUUCGACGUGGUAAUCUUGGCAACCGGCUACCAGAGCAACGUACCUCGUUGGCUACAAGUACUCAUCGUCUUGUUCCAUCUACUCCGUACCCAUGAUGCAUUAUAUAUCUCUGACACGGAGGGUUUCCUGCCAUUGUUUUAGGAGAGGGAGUUCUUCUCGGAGAAGGAUGGGUUGCCGAGGAGGCCAUUCCCAAACGGAUGGAAAGGGCGGAACGGACUCUACGCGGUCGGCUUCACCAAACGAGGCUUGCUUGGAGCAUCACUGGAUGCAUUGAGGAUUGCUCAAGAUAUCGAGCUAUGCUGCAAGACCGACGAGAACUGUCGCUAAUGGCCUCCUCUCGCCUACCAACAUGAGGCAGUGGUGUUUGGAUCGAUGAACAAGAAGGUAAGAGAUCGAAAAGGAAGGGGUUUUCAUGGUUUCACCGGCAAUAUGUUUAUAUGUAUAUGCUUUUCUUUUUCUUUUCCUUGCUGACUGACUCAUAUUUAUUUAGAGAGAGAGAGAGAGAGAUGCCUACCAUCUUUUCUUUUCCUAGUUUCCAUGUAUUAACUUGGUUUGGAUAGGCAUACACUAGUUUGAUUUCUGUGUUAAAUGACAAGGAUUAUUACAGUUUUAAGUGAAAUCAAUAUUCAUGCAUUUGCUUGUUGAUAGCUAAACCAAUGAGCAGUGGUACAUGAGAGAUGUUGCACCACAAGGACAGGUAGCAGAUCAACCAUGAUGUUAUUCUUAGAUCCUACACAAGUAGUCAGUAGGGCCACAAAUACUACUUGAUGAUGAUUCAAGGAUCUGUUGCCCACAAUUCCGGGAAGCGUUUUCUUUUUACAGGGUGUAGUAAUUAAUGGUCUACAAGCGUUUUCUCCUUCCCACCUCACCAUACUUCAUUGACGGAGAUGGGCAAGAUAAACAGAUCCUAUGACCUACUGAAAGACCAAAAGAUAGCUUCAGAUCGCUCACUAUUCCUGGGUCAUAUUUUGGCUGCCCACCAAGCACACUCAAAAUUCAAGAAAACAGCAGUUGUAGCAUGGGAGCAAGCUAGGUAAGGAUGUGAUGGAAAGAGACAGUGAGAAGCCUCCUAAACAACUUUCAACUAUUGUCAUCAUCUCAUCAGGCAAGUUUGCACUGAGAGUGAGUGAGCGAGCGAGAGAGAGAGAAGAGAACAGGAUCUUGACCUGCUGCAUCCACUGUGGAAUCUCGGUACCAUGUGGGAAUCAGAGGCUGAAUGAUUGAGCAAACAAGGCAUGCAUGGGCAAGUUGUCAGUGGCGGUCCCAAGUACACUACACAACCCGACGCACACCACAAGUAAAUUCUCCGCAGGAUGGGGUGCCUGAUGGAGCUCCGACGAAGCACCCCAUUAGAAUGGGUGGGUGGCGGGAUGGAUGAUGGCGCAUGUGACCAAAGGAGUGAUGGUCUAUAUAUACAUAAACAACCAGGGAAGGCAGUGCCUUGUGAUGGUCUCCAUCACUGUUGUGUGUGUGUUCCUCUGCAAGCUGGAAGUCAACGCAUGCUUGCAUGCAUAUUUAUGAUCACACGAGAUUAAUACUCGCCAAGGAUUCAUGUUGCUACGUGGUAUCAAAGAAUUUGUCUCAGAAGUAAUAGCUCGCCCAUGCUUGUGGGCUUCCACAGUAAUACAAGUACAGAGAGAGAGAGAGAGAGAGAGAGAGAGAGAGAGAGAGAGAGAGAGAGAGGA